rnacentral:lncRNA from 1 species
UCUAUGUAUUUUUACUAGAGAUGAUGAUGAUAUGUUGUUCGUUGUCAUGUCCUUAGUUAAUUUCCUGUGUAUGAUUUCUCUAUCUGGGUUUAAUUAAUUCAUGUCUGUUUGAUUAUUUUGGUUCUCGUAAAACAUUUUCAAUUGCAGCAGCAUGCAUUUAAUUGUUUUGUAGAAUUGAAUUGGUUCGGCUUUGGGAAGCUGCGUGCAUUUUCUUGAUCGCUAAUGCAAGCUGCUGCUCUUGCUUGCAUCUUAAUAUAUAAAGAAAUUCCGAGGAUUUGUCAAACAAAGAAUUAUUUUUGAUAACAUGUCAAGCCGUCAAGGUACGCAUAUAUUAAAUUUAAUUUUCCUUUGAAGAAUCUAAUUUCAAUCCGCAGUUUGUUUCAGCUGCCUGCCAUUUCAAAAAAAAGUUAACAGGAAACCACACAUAAGUGGCAAUGUUAAAUGGGAAUGCCCUUUCUUUAAAUUUUGCAUGCUUUCUCUUAAAGCAAAAGGGUCUGAUCAUCUCAUCAAAAGUUUCUCCCUUUGCAAAUCGAAAGUUUUGUGGAUUCUUGAAUCAUUCAAGCUCCGUAAAGUUCGAUGAACAUACAGAGAAAAUGGGGACACCGAUACUUCAAAUAUUGGCACACAUUACAUACACAUGACCCACCAAAAAGAUUUUUGUAGGAGCCAUGAAUUCAAAGUAGGCAAAAGCAUGUUGCUUAUGAGUUCUUUAAUACGCUAUCGAACUCUAGAUUUUUUUUCUUCUUUUUUUAGCAUUUUUCUGGCCUCAGAUUGAACUUGUCCUAGUCGCCGAAUUUAAGGUUCAUAUCAUCAACUUUAUUGCCUUCAUAUACUAAUUUUUUUUUUUUUUAAAUGUUAUGGCUAUUCUACACAAGCGGGGCAAUUGGUAUGGUUACCAGUCGCAUGUUUGUAUUGAUUAGAUAUGUAAUGUUGCAAAGAAAGUCGACAUGUUAGAUCGUAAAUUAGAGAAUCCGAUCAACUAACAUUUUUGAAUUGGAUGUCGACAAGGCAACAAAAUUUUCGGUAGAAAAUUUUAUUAUAGCCGAUUUUUGUUUUUCUAGCCAUCCAUUUGUCUGGCUUAGCAAGCACACAUCAUCAACAGUUGCCACAAUUUCUCUUUCAUUUGGAUUUUAAGCAAAGAAAAAAAAAACAACUGGGAUUUCUUGGAUUUCAUAUUUGAUGUCGUCAAUUCCAUCAAUUUAUUCCUUAAGGAAUUUGACAUGAAAUAACAUUAGGCAAAACGUUGUUAUAUAUACUAUUGCCCAAUAAUAUUUAAAGAUCUUUUGCAUUCGUUGUAUACUAUAUGCAAAAUACAUGCGAUAUGGUUUAUUUAAUUUGUAUAUCUAUUUUUGGUCCUAAAUUCGUUUCUUUGGGCCACUAAAAACGUGUUUUGAUUAAUUUUAGGUUAUGGUAGUUUGUGUCAUUUUCAUGGCAUAGGCAGUGAUUGAAUAGUUAACAAUCUUAACUAAACGUAAACGGCUAAUUGACCUCUUAAUUGCUUUUGAGUAGGGAUGGCAAUGGGCACCGCCCGCAGCGGGUUUGCCAUUACCAAACCCAAACCCGCACAAAAUUUAAAUUACCAAAUCCACCCGCAACCCGCAGCGGGUUUUAAUUUUUUUUAAAAAACCCACCCGCAGCGGGUUUUAACAAUUACCAAACCCGCAAUGGUAUCCGGCGGAUUUUUUGCGGGUUUCCGUAUUUAAAAUCACAAAUGUUUAAUAUAUAAAUUUAUAAUAAUAACCUCAAAUUUCAUAUAACAUAUUCAAUUUUAUAUUUAAACAAUGUAAAUGAAAAAUUAAAAUUUCCACAUCAAUUCAACACAAAUUCUCAAAUUUAAGUAUAAAUUACACAAAUUUAUUUAAAAAACACAAACUAAUAUCUAAAAAUAAUAAUUAUAUUUCAUAUUAUCAUUUAAAACAAAAUUCAAGAGAAGAUAUUCAUUUCAUUCACCGCCAUAAGCACCCAUCCAACACAAUGCCUAUAAUAAUAAUUAAGAUUAAUAUUUUCAAAUACUAAUUUGAAGGGAAAUGCCUUUAGUUUCCUUUAGGUUAUGACUUUAGAAUAGGAAAUGAGUCAUAUACACACAUACACAACUUUGAACCUUUGGCUAUUUGGUAAUUUGAUUAAUUACAUUAUUUUCUUUAUAUAUUUUUAUAUUUAAAUUAAAUUAAAAAUAUUUGAAAAAAAUUAUUGCGGGUUUGGUGGAUAUCCAUGCGGGUAUCCACCGGGUAUAAGGCUAAUACCAAACCCACCCGCAUCCAUGUGCGGGUUUUAAUCUAUAAUACUAAACCCGCCCGCAACGGAUAAAAUUACCCGCAACGGGCGGGUUUUGGCGGGUGGGUUUGGGCGGGUUUGCGGGUUUGCGGGUACAAUUGCCAUCCCUACUUUUGAGGCUUCUUUAAUUAAACCCCACUUAAUUGAUUGCAAGAAAUCAGGUCGUGAAAAUUCCUUUUUCUUUUCCUCCACCCAAAAAGUUGACAUGGAGAAGCAGUACUUAGCUUUAAAAAGCUAUAAGGUUUCACAUUUCAUGUAUGCUAAAACUCAAAAGCAUGAAUCGGACGGACAUAUAAGAACAUCAAGGAAUUUUCAUACAAUUACAACUAGUAGUUAACUUUGAAAUUAAGAAAGCUAUAGCUAGAGCCCAUAUUCAACUUUUUUUUUUAUAAAAAAAAAAAAUCCUCUUAGUAAAUCAUUUGCCCAAAUAAAGACAUCCUUAACCCAACUUUGUUUAAGUUAUUAACAACUGUGUUUCUUUAUUUAUUCCUUUGAUCAACUAUCAAUCAAAUAACUACAUGACUAGCUCUUUCAAUUUAAAAUUAAAAAGAACCCUAUGGGGCUAUGCAAAUAAUUCAAUAUCAGUUGAGCCCAUGUGAGCGUGUGAUCAAAAAGCACAUGGAAACACAAGAAUAUUAAAAAAAAAAAAACUUGUAAAGCCAUCAUAGCACACCAAUCAAUCCCUCCAACCUAAAAGUGAAUCCACCCAAAACCAACUCAUAAUUUCUCAUUCUUUCCCUUCAAACCAACCAUGGAAAAAGUAUUGAGAACAAUUUCCAUCUGAAUUGAUUUCAUACAAAAGUCUUGGUGUUUGCUAGAAAAAAAAAAAAAAAAAAAUUGUAGAAGUUAAGACGUGUUCGUGAAGCAUCAUUAAUGACUCCAAAUUUUCAUAAAGUAUCAUCAAUUACUCUAUUACAUAAGCCCUUCCGAUUUUGUUUUUUUGUUUUUAAAGAAAAAUAGAUUGUAGAUUGUCAAUUGAUCAUUUGAAGAUUUCUUAGUAAUAUUUCAUGAAAUUAAAGAUGGUUAAAUGAAGUUUAUUAAAAAAAUAUUAAGUUUUAUAAUUUAAAUCAAUGUCACCAUUGAAAGGCAUCUCAAAAUUAAGAGUAAAUAUCAUCACUUUAGGUGUAGAACUUUGGAUCGCACGAUAAUUAAAGUUCUUUUUAUUUAACUUUUAGGUAAUUGUGCCACAUGUUUAAAAAAAUACUUACAACUGAGUUUUGAGUAUACAUCUUAUUAUUUUGUACAACUGUUUGAUAAAAAUAUAAACUCUAGAAAUGACUAACUAGUGUUGUUUAAUAAACAUCCAUAAAAAAAUGGAGUCUAAAAUCUACACUCUAGCAAGGCAGCAACUUAAAUUAAUUACAGGGUCGGUGUUAAAGAAAAGAGAAAGUAAAACGUUAGGGCAAUAAUGAAAUUAAUCAAAUAAAUAUCUCACCAAAAAAGAAAAGAAAAAAAAAAACAGUAGUAGUUAAAGAAGAAGACAGCACGAGCAAUGACCCUACACUACACACAAAGCCAGCUGUGAGCCAACCAAGACUCAAAAGCAACGUCCCAACGUUCACAAAACCUGUUUAUAUAAACCACCACUCCACUCUCUUUAUUCUUGCAAUUUCCAAAGAGCUGUAUCACUACUACACACACGCAUCAAAGCUUCAUUCAUUUUCUCUUCACUUUUUACAGUCUUUAUUUGAAGCUAGCUAGCUAGCCGAUUAGUAAUUAGCAAUGGAGGCAAUGAAAGUGAAGUUCUUUAUUGUUGCUUUGAUGAUGAUGGCUCUGAUGGCCAUUGAGAAGGUGGCAGCUGCUGAUGCUGAGGCUCCUGCUCCUGGCCCUUCUUCUGAUGCUGCUCUCUUUGUGCCAACUUUCUUUGCUUCAUUCAUUGCUUUGGCUUUUGGGUUCCUCUUUUGAGCUCUCAUUUCUAACUCAGUCCACCCAUUUUGGUGGGCUGAGCUUGAGGUUUUCUUUUCUUUAUUGAUAUUAUUUAUUGAAUUUUAGGGCAUUUUUAGUUUCAAUUUUAAUGUUUUAACGUGGGGUUUGUUCUGGGGUGUGACUGGUGGUUGUAUUAUAUCUUGAGUAUGACUUGAUGUAUCUAUCCAUUCUAUUAUGUAUGUAUCAUUUAUAAUUUUUUUUGUUAUUAUUAUUAUGGUUUAGAUUUGAUCCAUUUAUUGUAAUUCUACUUCUCUCAUUUGUAUGAAAUGAAUUUCAUUUUUUUCAUAUAUGGUUUUAUAUAUUUUUACAUUCUCCUUCAAUAAUGAAAUUGGCUUGUUGAAUUUCAGUUGUAAAAUUGUAAUUAAUCUUCAAGGGUCGCCAAAUAAUUUAACCAUAAACACAAAUGAAAGAAGGGAAAAUUGGCAACUUUUAUUCGUGGGCAUUUGUGGUUGUAAAACGAUGUGUAUGACAACUUUUGGCAGAUUUUGAUGAAGUUGUCUGAUGAUCACGAUCAUGAUGUACAGCUUUUAAUAUUGUGGGGUCUUAAAAUUUGAUGAUAAUAUUAAGAAAGAGCAGCGAAUUUGAGAAGCUUAUUAAUGGUUUGGAGGUCACGUGAUGGGGUGAAUUUGUGAGUUGCAUAAGCUACACAUUUAUGGCCAACAAUUUUCUCAAGCACAAAGAGUUGUGGUCCACAUUUUCCUUUGAAUGUGAGGCAAUCACAAACAUUAGCCAAGCGCAUUAAAUGGCCCAAAUAAUGUAUGUUUGGUUAUUUCUAGGAUGAACAAUGCAGCGUAAUCACAAAACAAUCUUCUUCUGCGAAAGUUCCGAGAAUUAAGUAGUUGGUGAUUUUCAUACUGUUUCUUUGCUCUUAUGAGUCAUUAGUAAUCUGUGAAAUCCUUCAUUUUCAAAUAAGCAAUAAUAACAAAAGUAGGUGAAAUUUAAGGUAGCUUCUAGGCACCUCCAUUUAUGUGGUCAAGGCUUGAAUCGAGCAAAAGAUUAAUUAAACCAGUUAAUUAUGACGUGAACUUGUUAACAAACAUACAUGUGAAUGGGCUCUCAUUGAACAACCCUUGUCAUUGGGACAGUUACAAUCCCAGUCAAUUGCUUUAAUUUCUUUAAUUUAAGCAAUUGCAUACCUCACUGAUUAUCUCAAUCAGCGAACUUCAGAAACUUUAAAUGCUAAUUUUCCUAUAGAUUCCAACUACUUCAUGUACCAAAUCAAAUAAGAUAUGCACUCCUCUUUAAUACUUUUCUUUUGUUUCUUUCUACAUGAAUAAUGAGCUAAAGGGAAAUAGACACUUGGCAUACAACCUACAACCAUGUCAUGUGCUUUGCACAUGGAGUCCAGCAAAGAAAUAGCACAAGUACAAAGACAAAAGAAGAGUUGAGUUGGUUAGAAUGAGGUUUGUUUGUGCUUCAAGCUGCAGCACAAAAAUAAGAAAGUUUGAUCUAUUCUACCAACUUAAUUGGAAUAAAUCAUAUGGUAAGAGUAGCUGCCAAUUCAACCAAAGAAAAAAGUUACUCUAGCUACACGCAUAAUAGGAAUCGCAUUGCAGGAAAAUCUCAUCUGCCAGCAAGUAAUUUACUGGAUUAUAAUUCUACAAAUUAAAAUAAGAAGAGAAAAUUUUUAAUAUGGGUACAGGAGUUUGUGUUACAACUUUUAUGGUAUUACUUCAUCCAACAACACGAACAGAAGCCAUUUUAAGACUUGCUUCGGCUUAAUAUUACAGCAUAAGCAGUAAUCCACUCAAGCACGCUAUGAAAGUUGAAACAUCCUCAGCAAAAUUUCUGAAAGGAAAAUUUUGAAACAUUCUUGCAAACCAUAGAAGCUACAAUGAGAAACGAAACAGAUGAUAUAAGGACCUCGAAUCUAUUAAAAUUAGAGCUCUCCUAUAAGUUCAUUUACAUUUUUGUAACCAGCAACAGUUAGCUCUAACUAUUUCUUCCUAGACUGCUUUCUUUCAGGAAAAUUCUAAAAGAUGGUUACCGAUCAAUAAGCCACUAUUACAUACAAAAUUACAUGUUACAUCUAAUUGUACAUUGACCCAUAAAAAUGGAUCGCAUGCAGCACGAGCUAGACUAGGCAUAUCUUCCAUCGAGUAAAGCAGUGAGGAAACAACCAAGUGAAGAGCUUAUUUCUCAUGAUCUUAGGAUUGUGGCUUAUCUGCCAGCUGAGAGAGCUCUCUGUCAGCAAAAUGAAGCAACCUUCUCAGUCUUAAUACCAUAUCACAGUGAAAAGGAAGCGCAGUCCGACGAUUCAAGUACGCAGGGCUUGCUGUCAUCCAUGACAGGGCAUGAAGUUCUGCUGCAAUAGACUCGAGAAUCAAAUGGGUUUCAACUUCAAAGUCUUUAGGUUCUGAGCUUGAGGUCCUUCCUCCCUGCUUGAUAAUUACUCUAUUGACUUUAUCUUGGCUAAUAUUAUUACCUCCAUAAUAAUCAAUUAAAUUUACAGAAAGUACAGAAGGCCAUUCAUCUUUCAACUUGUUUUUGUGGUCUUUUCUCAUAGAUGGAACAGAUUUUGAAACCACAAAUCCAGUGGAGAGGGGGAUUGCAGAGCCCUUGCUAUGAAGGAGAUGAGCAAGGGGCGGAGAUUCAGCAGUAAGGCAAGUAGGGAGCUGAAGAGGUGCUGGAGGAAGGAAGCGCAUGCUUGGUGACGGGAUCAAAAUAUAAGAUGCAGGUGUAGCACCAAGAGACUUUACAGGGGUGAAUCCUUCCAAAUAGCCUGACGGACCAACACCAUUGCCACCCUGGGUUCCUCCUGCACAGUGAUACAAGGUAUUUUGAAAUAGAAAUGAGAUGGUUUAUCAUGCACAAAACAUUAUGAGCUACCAUUGUACAUGAAGUCCAUAAAAUUUUGAGGGUCACCAUAAUAUAGUAGGUAAUUUUAUUAUUCAACAUACAUUAGAACCCGUCAUUUCUUAUUUAUGCAAAGACCAUCACAAUUUAAAGCCCGUUCAAGAGGGUAAAACCAUCAAAAGAGCAUAAAAUAUUUUUGAUCAACCCCACUUUAGCCAACGGGGAUUACCUCAUAUUUACGGCUCAUCGAAGGGCUGACAGUAGGACCAAGGUCAGUAAUGUACCGAACAUAUGGUAACCGUAAAUAAAUUUAACAACGAUUCAAGAUGCAACUAUAAGUCAAUAGAAAUAAAAACUUGAUGUGGUGACGGAUAAAUACAAUGGCCAACAACCACUGCAAGUGUAUGAGCUUAAAUUUAAAUUUCUAUAGCCCUUUAAUACAUAGCUACUUCGUGAGUCAGUAGGACACUGAAUACAGUACACUGCAUACAUCAUGGACAAGGCAAAACCAAUUUAUUUAUUUCUCAGUCAAGCGUUCUGACUUCUGAGGUACCUCGUCAACAAGAGUACCCACACAAUUAACAGAUAAUGGAGUUCAACCGGCAGGAAAAUGCAAAUGAUUAAAAUGAAGAAUUAGAGGAAAGGGAAGACUGAAAACUCACCAGAAGAUGGUGAAUCUGCUUGAUGGACUAGAUGCAGAGAAUGAUCAAUUGAAAUUGCUACAAAGCUGAUGCUCUGUACCCACUGAAGCAAUCCCCUAGAAUUGUCAACCAUCGUAUGUCCACCAAUAAGCUGCUUUCUUCCAACAGGCUGUCCUAGACCACCUUUCAUAAAACCAGAAGCUUUUGAGUGAGGGCUGUACAACGGACUAGGUGAGGACGGUAGUGCUCUCUCUUGAAUCAAACUUAUCUCCUGCUGCUGCUGCAAGGAUGCACCAUUAGUACUUGAUGGCAUCCCAUCAGGUACAGAUCGACGCAGUUGUAGCGGCCACUGCUUCAUCUCGGACCCGCCAACUGAAUAAAUGGCUUUCUGCCACUCUGUUGAAUCAUAAGAUAGAAACAAAACGAUUACAAUGUUUAUGCUAAAAAUGCAGACCAAACAAAAUCUUGGGUGCACUAUAGCACAAGGUUCUACAUGAAAAAAGGAAAAAGAAUAGACAAACAAAUAAACUGGCCACAGAUAUUUCAUUACAUUACAAAUUUUUAACUAGGACAGGUAACCAUUUUUCUCCACACAAUACAUGCCAACGGGUUAAAAAAUGCUUGAGCAGAGUAUAUACUUAUAGAAAGAACGACAUUGUAGCUUAGAACAAUAGUAUAACAAGUGAUUUUCCCCAGCACUAAAAGUAAAAUGAAGACAGAUCAUAAGAUUUUAUCAAAGUAGAAAAAGGCAAAUACCCAAGUAUUCAAGCUCAUAGAAACUUCCAAUGCGUGUAAUCACGAAAUCCCUAGGCUUGGCAGCACCAGAAUCAGGAGAACAACAUGUCUGAAGUAUCUGGCAGCCCUGCUGCAAAAUUUGCACGAAAAGGCAUUGCAAACCCUUUGUGUCCUGUCGACUACUGAUUCCACCGAAAGGAAAUAUAUGGCUGUCGAGCAAUUCUCCCCUUGCAUCAGUCCAGAUGCACACCAGCCAACGCCAAUCCUCUGUCCAUCCAUAGCAGCAAUGCAGACUUGGAACACUCUUGUGAUGACCAGAUCCAAAGCCAUCCUGCUCAGAUCUAUCUAGUUGAGAGCUUGAUCCAGUAUCUGCACUUCCUGCUGUACUUCCACUCAUCAUGAAGCCUCCAGUACUAUCAUCAGAAGUCGAGUUGCCAUUAAAUGUAGAUGAAACACCAUGAUCUAAAGAGCCAGGUUCAGCAAGGACAAAGAGUGGUUCAAACAUGAAACGAAUUUCGUCUUGAAUAAGAAAAUCUCCAUUUCUGUUUGGAUCACAAUUUAAUCCUCCAGAUCUUGUUGCUUGCCAGGAAUUAUCCCAAGUGCCAGGCCUCAAGCUAGCAUCAAUUUCACCCUCUCUACUAAGGGAAGGUCCGGUCAUUCGAGAACCAACACAGUCCUUCCACAUCCCAGGAAUAGAUGCCAUUUGAUUCAUGACUGAAUGAGAUCUGCUAGACAGUGAAGAUGAGUGCACUACAUCACCAGAAGACCCUCGCGAAAUCCGUCGAGCCUUGUUGUAUACAGUAAAUGCAGUCUCCUUGAGAAGGACAAGUUCAUUAAUGGCCGGACUUGUAACCCUAAAAAUUUCAUCAACAGUCAAAAUUUGCAAUACCAACUUGGGAAUACUAAACCCAGAAAUGGCUAGAACAUUUGAUAUUGAGGUUUCAUCCACUGCUGCUGGGCAGCUUAAUGCCUUGCCAACCUGACUAUGCAAUAGAGCUCUCUCUCUAUCUGAUGAAAUAGCAACAGAUCCAAGAGAAGCAGAGGAUUCAAUAACAGUUUGUAGAAUUGCAAGAGGCUCUGGGAAGGGGCACACCACAUAGAUCACCUAAGCAUUUUUAUAGGAAAAAGAAAAUGAUAAAACUGAUAAUGCCAAAGCAUAAAUGAUGCGAAAGCUGUGGAAUAAAUAUGUAAAAAAUGGUGGUGUGCAAUAGAGGCACAAGGAAACUGUUCACUUAGAAAGAAUCACACAGUCUUCAACUUUAAGAUAAGCAUGUGACUGGAUAUGAAUCAAGUGACUAUUGAGUAGGAUUACAAAUUGUUGAUCUUUAACAUCCAAAACCAGUAUCUUAAGAGCUUUCUACAGAGCAUAUCAAUGCUCCAGCUCUCUAUGAAUGCGCACCAAAAGCUAAUCCAGCUCUCUAUGAAUGCGCACCAAAAGCUAAUCCAGCUCUCUAUGAAUGCGCACCAAAAGCUAACCUUCAGGAAAGAGUUUCCACCAUAAAAUGAUAACCAAAGUUAAGAAUAAUAAACGUACUCCAUGUAAACAAAAAAGUUUCAGUUCCAUCAAGCACACAGUACAAUCAACAGAAAUUUUUCACACAUCCAAGACUUUGUGAAAUACACCAUUGAAACCUGUAAAAUACACUCACAUACAGUUCAAGAUAUAACAGAAAAUAUGGUUAUAAAACUUCUACUUACUGUACAAGGACCACUGUUUCCUUCUUUUUGCUGUGUAGAUGAGCAUGGACCAAGUUUCAUGGUUUUGAGAGCCUUAGAGAGAGACUUUAGAUAGCUUGUCAAGUCCCAGCCAUUGGACAGAGAGAGAAAAUAAUCGCUUAUGGAUCCCACAAGAGAUGCGUUAUUGCUUUCAAUUUUCAUUGAUUGAGGGCAAUCCAGUAGAACAAAACCAGAAGAUGGCGAUUUCCCAGAAUCUAUCUCCAUUUGGUUUCCCAAAUUCUGAGGUGAAUGAGUUCCCAGUUUGCAUGUCUCAUAAACUAAAUGAAGAAAAACACAUGGUAGCAGUAUUAGCACUUGAGAAGAGUGAAAAGUUUGGGAGCACAGAAUUGAUGUGUGUUACUACUCUUGAAAGUGGCACAGUAGCCAUAGGAAACUGCAAGUCAUCAUGUUUUACACCGCUAACAUAGAAUUCAGAAUUGUAAAAGAAAGUGCCAAUAAAAGAGUAUGUUUUCCCUUAAAGCUAAUUACUUUUCAAUCAAGAGCUAAGCAAAUGCACUUUUGUCGGGAAGAGGAUUGAAAUAUUUGUGUUCACAAAUUAAACAAUUAUGAAAAGAUACAAAAAUUAGUCAAAAUUUCAACACUUGAAACCCUCCAACUCCAAUUACAAACUAAGUUGCUACCCUUCCCUCAAAUAACAAGGGUUUAAGGAAUGUUUUACAACAAGAAUACACUUGUAGUUGAUGCGUCCAAAGUAGGGAAAAUAAACCAAAACCUUCUUUCUAUUAUAGAAAUAGAAGACCAGAAACAAAUAUUAUAGUAAUAGAAGAGCACAAACAAAGAACUCCAAUCACAGGUGCAAUUCAAACAACGGCAACUAAAAUUUUAAGUACAGAAAAAUUUUCACCAACUGACCAGCUCCUAGUUGUUGAACAAAAUCAGCCGCAGCAGAAGUAAGAGGAUCAAUGUCUGGACAUAUAACAUUAUAAGUGAUCUGCAAACAAUUUAAAGAUAUUACAACAAGGAGAUAAUUUUUAAAAAAUUUGCUCAAAUAACAGAUAUUAGAACUGGAUAUCACUGUUGUUGCCGCAACUGCUUUUAAGAACUUACAGGUUUUGGUAAAGCAUAUGGUUCAAGAGGGGCCUUUUCCCAAAACUGUAAAGAGGUUGCUGAUGUCUUAAGCCAAUCAUCCUGGUACCUAUUACAAAAACCAUUAAAUUACGCUUAUCUCUGAGAAUGAUACUCAAAGGUUGAGGCAUGUAGCCGUCUGUCAUGAGUUAUCUAGACACCAUUGUAGUUAACCUGUAAGCUACCAGAGGAAGUUAAAGAACACAUAGAAAUCCUACAUCAAUCCAAUAAAUAAGAUAAUUUAUUCACUCAACACUAAUUAUGAAGAAUUAAAAGUAGUUGUACAAAUUAUCGGUUGCAGAUGAAUUAUUCUACACUGCAUCGAGAGCAACUUUAGUGGCGCAAAAUUAUUCCAUCUGUAACUAGGUGAGCCAUUGUCAUGCCCAGGCUCAACAUCAUUAGUUUGUCUUUUAUUACCAUAGUUGCAAUUAGCGUACCAAGGUGAAAUAAUGCGCCACAAAGUGCCAUUUUCAUACACAAAAAUAGCCAGACUGAGUUUUAGAAAAUAAUGCUGUCCUGCUAUUUGGAUAAAUAGACAAAGGAGAUCUUCAUAUGUCAAAAUAACCAUAUAAUCAACUCACCCUCCCCAUUCCAGAAAAAUAAAUAUAAACACAGCGAAGAAUGUCAUUACAUUAUCCCACUGUUAGCACCAGCAUAGAACUGUCACUUCCUAAGAACUUUGCUUUUUUAUUUUCUAUAUCAUGCUUUGUUUUCCAGUUUAGUUAAAAUUAAACAACCAAGGUACAAUUUCCCAUUUGGUAGUUCAAAUAGCUCAGAAAUGUACCAAAAAUAUCCAAUAUUGAUUAAUUAUCUGGGAAGGCGGGAAACAAUGAGAAUUACUGUACUUCUAAGAAUUUUUCCUUGGAGCGGAUGCAUUGCCACUCCCUAAUAUAUAGAAAUUAGUAUUAUUUGCUCAAAAAUUCAAUAUUCAGACUAAAUUGUCUGUAUAGCCUUUAUGCAUUCUCAUGAACAAGCAGCUCCGCAUAAAACAACAUACAUUAAAACAUUAAGAGAGUUUUUCAGAUGUUGACGAAAUAUUAAUUUAAUCAGAACUCCAAGACAUACCCAACAAGUAUAGCAGGUGAAGGAAGAACAAAAAGUGUUGGCUUCAAACGGGCACACAAUUGAUGAUCUGACUCUGAACUGCCAAUAUCUUGGUUCAAUCUCCUUUGGCCUGUCUCAUCGAGUUUAGUUCCAUCCAUAGCAACUGGCAUUGUGUCAUGGCCAAACUGUUUAUUACUCUAAAUAUUCAAGAAUCUAAAUGCCCAUAUUCAAGCAAAGAGAUACCUUUAAGGGAAGAUGAUCCACCGCCAGAAGAUUGGGAUGGGCUCAGUGCUUCUCCAACAGUAAUGGUACUUGAAGAAUCUCUGCAUUCACUAAUAGACUCAGCAGAUCCAUCCCCUAUGGCCGCUGCAUCAACUGAUUGACCACGGCCUUUGCACCAAUCUGUGACAGACAAUGGACCAUCCAGACUUCCAAAUGCAGAUUUUAGAGCUGUUCUAAUUUCAGAUUGCAGCAAACUUAUAACCGAGGAAGCAUGAAUCUGAAAAAUAAAGAAUUAUCGGCAUAAGAAACAUUAUGUGAUAAGAAGAACAAACAAACUUAAUGAAAAACACUUGUCCAUAUACAGACAAACACACACAAGCAGAUGUGAUUAUGUGAAGCCUGACUGAAUUUAACAAAAAGUAAGAGGGAAACAAUGGUGACAAAACUUAACAUAAUUCAUACAUGUGCGACCCCCCCACCCCCGGCCCAAAAAAAAAACAAACACACCAACCCCAAAAGGAAAAAAAUAAAAAAUAAAAUAGUGGCAGAAUUUAGCUUUAGCGUAAUUCGUACAUGUGCCCCUGGGACCCACCAACCAAGGAAAAAAAAAAAAAAAAGAGAAAGAAAGAACUUACAUCAGCGGAAAGUGGAUCUACUAACUCCACACCAGCAAUGUCCAGCGAAUGACAAGAAGCCAGAGUCCCUCCACAACCUGCAUGGACCAUGGAAGGCCCACAAGAAAAUUCUUGCCGCCAAUGUUCUUGUAAUGCUAGCCAACCAUAAGGACCAUCACCACAAUCCGCAUCCAAUGCCACAUCAACAAAGGAGGUAGCUUGCUGGACAAGCAAUGGCAGACCAUCAAGAAGCUCCUGAAGUGGUUGCCUUUGCCCGUAAGAAAGCAUACCUUCCUCACUAAAUGAACCAUGGGGCAUAGAUGGGCUAACUUCAAUACUUGGUGAAUUAGUAGGUUUUGAAACUUUAGCAACUCCAACUGAACGCCACACCCCAACAGGUGCAUUCAGGUGUCCGUCUAGUAGUCCUCCAUCAAAAUCACCAGCUAUCCUUACUGGAAUAGAUUCUUUCUUCUUGAGCUCAUAUCUUCCAGAUGUGCUUUCCGUCAUGGAACUCAAGUCACCAGGCAGCUGAUUCAAGACCGUGCUGCCAGUGAACCUACUCAAGCUAAUAGGUGAGGGAUUACUGGAAUAUAGGAGUACAUGACGUAUCCUGCACAUGGAAGCUUGGAACAUAAGACAUUCAACUUCAGUCGCAAGCACAGUCUUCUUAGAUAAAAAAAUAUGUUCCACUCCCAAUGUGCCCUCAGUCAUCUUCCUUGGUAAAGAUUUGAUAGCAUUUGUAGAACUCAAAUUAGAGAACGGGGAUAGCACUAGCCCAUCACUUUUAGCAUUGCUAUCUUUAUGUGUUACUGAUUUCCUAUCAUUUUGCUCUUUAGAGCUCUCCACGUGAGAAUAAUAUUUCUUUGAGUGGAGCAAAGCACUUGAUUCAUGCUUUCCAGAACAAGCUUUUGAGACAGGCGUGCCAUUCUUCUCAUCCGAUCCAUCAAAGCAUGGAGAACCAGGAGGGGUUGCACCAUAUACAUAAUUAUUUGAGCUUGAAUUUGAACUCUCCACUCUGUAAGACUUUGGCAGAUAUGGACUUCUGAAAAUCGACGAGGAUAACUCACUUGUAGGAGUUUCAACUGCUCCAUAUUCUGGAGCAAAUGUCAUCAGGGCUUCAGCUUUCAUUAAAUGAUCAAACUCACCAGUUGACGAUGCUCGACUUUGGUUCGCUUGACCUGAUGUCAGAGUACUGUUUGUGACUUCUUGACUUUUGCCCAUGCACUCCUCUACGGCCAUGGUUGGCAGUGGAUUGAAGCUCUCAAAUGACGAAAAAUUAGGCAUAAGCAUUUGAUCAGAAACAUCCAUGGCUACAACGGGACUGCUACCCACAUCUCCACAAUCGGGAGCAGAAAACAUGAAGGACUGAGACUCUGCAGUUCCUGGGGGCUUCACAGAGCAAAAAGUCAUAAUGAGAUGCAGUCAAAUCUUCACCAUGUCAACAGAAAGCAGAGCAAAAUGUACUAGCUAAUGCAGAGAACCAGGCAUUAAGACCAUGAAAGGCCUACUCACAGCAACUUCUGAAACCUAAAGAUGGAAGCCAGAGGGAAAUCAAAGGGAGAAAAUAUCUAAACUUCAUUGAAAUAGAACUUUUUUUGUGCAAUACGGAUACCGCAUUCCAGAGCAUGCUGAAUAUACAUAUCCCUCUAGAAAAUAUAACAAAUAUGAACACACACUCAUAUCAUAAAAAUUAGUAUCUUCAAAACAAUUGUGCAACUUGAAAAGAAAUUUCCAAUUAGUCUUUUUUGUUCCAACAAAAGAACAGGCAAUUCAUUUCGAUCUCACAAAAACUUGUAAACAAUAGUCUAAAUGGCCAAUUAUAGGUCAAUUCACUACUUUCACUAACGCAGGUACUGCUAUGCUUCAUAUGGUGGCUUUAAGAAUUCUGAGAUCAGAUGUUCAGGCUUUUCAUCGAGAAGAAGUGCCCAAACAUUCCAUAAACAAAAUACUACCCAUUCUUCCACAGGCAGCCAGUGCCCAGGAUAGAUAAUGAUGGGUUUGUGCAACAAUGAUUAUGAAGCACCACAUCACACAGCGUCUUACACUCCCAUCCCAUAAUGUCUGUCUGUUCUAAGAAAGUCAAAGUCCAUCCACCCUUUUACUUUUCUAAACUAUUGAGUAUGAUUAGAAAAAGAGGGAGGGUGGGGGUAGGGGAGGAAUUGCCAUCAACAACAACUAAUUCUUCUUAGAAAAUGUACAGAAAAUAGAACUCUCAACAAAGAAUAGGCAGUUAACUAUUCAAAAAGCAUGCAAUAGUUUGUGAUAGUAUAUUGGAGAAAAGAGAGAAAGAGAAAAGAAUUACCUCCCCAAAAGGCAAAUUUUCAUUUUCAAAGAAGUCACCAAAAUCUCCAAACUCCGAUAGAAGAGCUUGGAUAUCCAUACCCAUGCCUCUGUCAUCAUCAUCAUCCCAGUCCCAAUGAGAUCCAAUCUGGUCAUUGGCAACUCCAGUAAUGGCUGAAGUGUUCUCCACAGAGCCAAAAUCUGUAGAAGCAUUUGUACCAGUGCCCAUUUGACCAAAUGAUUCGAUCAUCCCUGUUCGAGGACGCUUAGAACCCUGCAAAGAAGUUACAGCCAUUUACAUAACUGAAUACCUCGAAAAAAUAGCAAAGAGAGUUCCUUACCCAGAACAGUAAUCAAUUAGCAGUAAGUAAAAGCAUGAGGGAGGAACUCAGAAUAUCAUCUCAACCAGUUUACAAUAAAAAGGUCAAAUAAUACAAUGCAACAAUAAAAUUCUAUGCUCUUAUGCAACUAAGCAAGUAGCUACAAAGCUGUAAAACUAAAAGAUCAAAUAAUAAAGUGGCUUGCAUGUAUGGGUGAGAAUGCGCCUUUACUAAAUACUAACUUAAACAACAGAUAUAGAAUAAUCUAUUGGAGUAAGUUAUCAUGAGGUCAUUAAAUUCUGCAUUAUGCCUACAAUGCAGGUAGACUAAAGCAGAGAUGCACAACAUAAUAUAGCAAAACAUGCUAAAUGCAUGCAAACAUAUGUUUGGAUACAUAGAUCUGAAGUUCUGCUGCUAAGACUCACAAUCCCAUCUCAACUAAUGGUACUAGUGUCUUCAUCCAUAAGCAAUACAUGAAAACCUAGAUGACUAAUGUUCUUGAUUAAUGAAGAUAGAAUUAGUACCAAUUUGGGGCCUUCAUUUUCCAGCUGAUCAUUGGAAGAUAAACCAGACUGUCUACAUGUUAAAGAAUCUGCAUCUGCUUCAAGGUCACCAGUUCUUGCGUUCAUCUGGUAGUCACUAUCGCUGGAGCUGCCACUUAUGGAGCUGAUGCUGCUAUUAUUACUAUUGCUACUACUGUUAUAACCACGUUGAGCAUGUAUGCCAUUGGUUUCAAUCCAAGAUCCUUCCAGAGAGUCCAUAUUACCAAAACUGCAGAAAAGAAAAACAGGAGGUCAAAAAUAAAAUAAAAAAUGCAGGGGCUACCAACAACAUCAGUGAAAGAGAGAGAUUGUGACAAGCAAAAGAUUUAGACUCUGUUAUAAGGACAGGGAAUCCAUUUAUGUUGACUGUCUUUGUGUUGUCUGUGUGGGCAACUGUUUCCUUAAGAAAGGUAAAUUGUAUAAAAUAAACGAAUGAAGAAAAAGCGAUACAUCUAUGCUGUGAGGCCCACUUGCUACCCAAGGGGAACACCAAAAACUUUACAAAAUCUUCCUAUUAUAUUUACAACGAAUGCACGGCUACCCCUAUAAAAGCUAAAAAGCCUAACACAAAAACCCCUUCCAAUUUAGAUGAAAAAGUAAGUAUCUUGGAACUCUUUAGAGGCUGAAGCCCAAAGAGAAGAAAAAAUCAAACUCUUUUCCCAUAAUCCAUCAAAUAUUGUUAGCUCUUUUUUCUCCCUGAAAUUUCAAAUAUUUCUUUGCAAAUCAACCAAAGUAGAACUGCAACACUGCAUUAUCAAAGGUUUUUUACCUUGGUUCCCACAGGCUUGAAUUACAGUUAUUUCAAUUGGGAUGCAUAUUUUUCUGAUAAACAAACACUAUAUGAACAGUGAUAACAAAAAUCAAGACACUAACCAAUGCAUGAGGAAAGAUGAACCAGCCAUUGAUGGCCCUAUCCAAUUUUGAAGCCAAAAUCUGCAAAUGCACAAAUCUUUGUCAAUUAGGCAAUAAAGAGCAACAUUAGGGGGAAAACAAGGAAAGAAAAGAAAAGAGUUGACAUAAAAUGCAAAUUAAUUAGCACAGAAUACAUCUGUACCUUCUCAAAGAAGAUCUGGAGAAUGAUGUUUGCAAGACCGGGACAAGCACUGCCUCAGCUGGAUAAAUAAACGUCUUUUCAUAUGCCGACAUGUUAUCUGGCGAUCCCUUUGGAUCACCUCCUCCUACUGAUGGAGACUCUGAAACGUUAUGCUUGUGUAAAUUUCUUAAGGAGUUUGAGUUUAUAUGUGAUGCCUUGUCACUUCCAGACCUAGGACAACCCAUGGUAACUUCAACAUAGCAAUUUUGCCCAUUUAGCUGGCAACCAGAACCUUGAGAAACAUGUGGUAGACCUACACAUCCAUUUGAAGUCCUAAGAAGAAUAGAAUAGUACAAGAAUAUGUUAGGGACUUUCAAAAAUAGAAAAAAAAAAUACAAGGGUGUGAAAGAUAAAAUUUAUAGAUUAAAAAGAAUAGAUAUCGUUCACCUAAAAUACACUUGCUUGACAAGGUCGGUGGGACAAUAUCCAGUGAGCCUACCACGCAUACCAUGAGGAGAAACAAUCACUGCAAAAGUCCCAAAUGAAAUCAGAGGAGAUAAGUACGCGGUAAAGAUUGCUUAAUUGGCUUCCUGGAACUAUCAUUGGGCCUUAACUUGCUCAAAGUCCACCAUUAUCGUUUGACGAAUGCUUUUUAACUAUUCUAUUUACCUCCAUGUACUAUGAAAACUGCUGCCCAAUUUAGGUAAAUGAAGACAAAAGGAAGCAUCUGGAACUGUGAGUCCCAAAAAGGCAUUAAGAACUGAGCUCUAUCCCCAGACCAAAACAAAAAAGAUCUGAACCUCUCUCUUUGGAAAACAAAAAGGGACAGAUUGGUCAACUUUUCUACAUACCUUUCCUUCUAAUUCAACUGUCUUUGUUUCCUUUUUCAAAAAAAAUAAAAAUUGCAUCCAGCGGGAACCUUUUCAUUUCAAGUACAAUAAACCCAGCAGAAAUGUACACCAACCUGGAAGUCUAAAGCUGGAACUACUACUUGAAGAAUGCUUAAAGCCUUUUUCCAUGUCACCUCCUGAAAGUGAAUGGAUAUGCCUAGAAAUAAACAAGAUAAUAUCAAUUUGGCAUGCAUUCAAGGAAAACCAAUGCCCAAACCAAAUUCACCACCGUAAGAACAUGACAACUGGGGAAAAAAAAAAAAUUAAGUAUGUGCUUUCACGAACUUUGCAGAUACUCUAGCAUGGAUAAAAAUUGCCUCUUCAGUAGCAGCAAAGAUGAACUCAAUUGUCGGAUGUCCUUUCCUACAAAAACACCAGCCAAAAAUCAGCCAAAUAAAAAACUCUGACAAGUUCAGUCAAAUUCAACAACCAAUUCAAUAAUCACCUAACUCUAGAAAAAUGAAUUGGCAAAGAAGAACAGAGAAAUAAUAUAAAAAAUAAACAUCCACGAUCAGAGACCACAUUUUUAGGUAACCGAGAAAAAGUUUAACAUUAUGACAACGAAUGAAUUCCUGUUGUUUCAAAACUUCAAAUUCAGGUCUCAUGUCUAGUUUCAUGUUUGAGUAUUUCCCUGGCUGCAGUUUCGGAAGCCCUGCUAUAACAUGCUCUCCCUCAGUGUCAGGUUUGGGCACCAUAAAUAAAAAUCCACAGACAAAGAUAGGAAUCAUGGACACCCACAUAUUGAUAUUUUGUACAAAAUCACACCGAUUGAACAAUAAUAGUUAAAAUGACAUAAAGUUCAUUUAUCUAUCGGAUAAGUGUAUCCUAUUUUUCAGAGAAGGAAAACUAGCUAUUUCCAGAAACAGAGAACAUUUAAUGCUUAAUUCCUUUAAAUUACCAUCCAAGACACUAAGCAGACGGUAGCCGACAGGUAGCAAUUAACUACUGAAAAAUGAAAAUAGAAAGAGAUCAAUACUUGCUAAAGAAUGGCAACAAAUUCAAAAUUAUUUAUUCUCAAAAUGACAUCCCAGAGCCCAUCAAAAAAAAAAAAAAAUUAACAUCCCAGAGAGAAAAUAUCACCACAUGAGGUAGAGUAAAAACAGAAAUUAUGAAAUAAAAAUUCGCAAAUCCUUCAGUGGUUUAACAAUUCAGGUGCAGCUUAGUUGUGAAUAGAUUGGGUACAUCUAGCUUCUGGAAAUUGGUUAGAAUAAAAUGAUAAUAACAGAGAAAACCUUGUCAACACAAAACCAAUGAAUUAUUGAAAUCAAGUUAUCAUUGUAACAAUAAUAACAAUGACCAUCAUUUUAGCCACUCAAUUCUACUUGAACCAUUGAUACUACUACCAAUCAACAAACAAUUUGAGGGGAAAAAAAAAAAAACCUGAAAGAUUCUUCGCUUUGGGAUGGCUGAUACUUCGAAAAUACGUCACCAAAUCUCAAGUAGGAAAGUCCAAUCAAUGCUCUGUAGAUUCCAAUAUAGCAGGUCAAGAUAUAAACAUGUUCAAAUUACUUUCAGGGUCUAGGAAAUAAUUGAAAACAAACCUUUCUAUGCAGUUCCUCAAAGCCUGAGAGAGGGCAGCCGCAACCUCUUCUGAGUCCCCAGGAGCAACCCAAAGUCCAGAAGCAACAACUGCAGAAAACAAAUGGAGGAUUAUAAAAUAAUAUCUACCAUAAUCAUACACCAUCAAUAAAGAUUCUAUAAAGCUAUAUUAAAGCAAUAUAAUAAUUUAAAUAAACCGACGACUACUCAUUACCCACCAAAUAAAAGAACAAAUAAAAUUAUUGAAAAAGACAUAAGGACACCACUAAAUACCCAAAAGCACUUGAUACCUCUUAAUCUAGAGACAGCAGCUUGAGUGGUCUCAGCAACAGAUGAAUGACGCCCCGGAAGAAAAAGCCAGAGCUUUAUUUUCUCAUCUGUGAUGCAGUUACAAAAUAAAAAUGGUCAUAUAUAACGUAAACAAGCGCACGGCAGCCCUUUUUCUUCCAAAGGUACAUAACCGAAGAUGGUGAGUCUCAAUUGUGCCAAGACUUUCUUGUUUUCCGCCCAAGCAACAUUAAAGAAAAAGCACAUAUUUGACAAUUUGCAUUUCUUACCAGGAUUGUGCAAACCUUGCGAUGGAUCCCAAGGUCCGACAAAGGAAUUUGUCCAUGUGCUAAGAAAUCCCUCCUUUUGCAAUUGCAGAUGAGAAGAAAGUACCAGAAAUGUAGCGGCGUCUUUCUGGUCCACUUUUACACUAUUGCACCUCGAAAGAUAUUAUAUUUUAGGAGUGCUUUAAACAAAUAUUGAAGCUACAUUCUUAUCAUUCACAUUCACUUGUAUUUGAUAUAAAUCUACGAUAUAAAUCACUCCAGGUACCAACCUUUUAUCAGGCAAAGCCUUCAGAUCGGAUUCGUUGGGGAGAAACUGGAACCACGACACAUGAUGAAGACCUCCCUGUGGAAUGGCCAAUGUAACAACAUCUUAGAGCAAAGUACAUAUCAAAGCUGAAAGGACUAGAUGAUAAUGAAUUAUGGCUCUAACUACAAUAAUGGCAGAAAUAAGGUCAAAAAAGGGAAAAAAAAAAAAAAAAACCUAUGUGAUAAAUAAAGGCUAACCCCAAUAUUACAUCGCACUUUCAAGAUUUCCUUAUUAAUCACAGAGAAGGUCUAGUUCUCCAACUCGUCAAACAGCUUAUAGAGCAUCUGAUUACCAAAAAAUUGUUCUCUGAUUUUAAUAAUAAAAUGCCUAUAUAAGGACAAUGCUUACACGUGUGGUACUGGGAGAAAUUUUCUCAUUUGACUUUUAUUUUAAAUCCAAUAGUUUUGAUUGGCUACAAAGUAAAUCUAUAGGCCAGAGAAGGAUUCUGGGAAUGGAGCAAGCUCAGUUUCAGGUAAAACCAAUGAAGUUCACCAGAAAACAGUAAAUAUCUAGUUAGAAACAUUAUGCUUUAACCAAUGAACAUGCAAUAUCCUAAAAUCUGUCUUUUCCAAGCAAAGAUCACAUCCCACAUAGGAAAAGAAACGUAAAAGAUAUAUGAUAACAAGCAUAGUUUUUUUCCUACACGUGUUAAUGUAUGUGUAUGUAUGGAUGCGUGAGUGUGUGCGAGUGUGCGUGUGCGUGUGCAUACUGAAUGCCUGAAUUGCAGGCACAUGCAAUCCCUCAUGUGUGCCUGGAAAUUAUGGGGUCAGGUGGCUCCAAAGAAUUGAUGAUAGCAUUUGAACCGGCUCAAUACUUCAUAAGACGCCUCGAUGGAGGUUGAAGAGUCACUCAUCCCAGGCCCUUAAAAUUAACAAUAUCUCAAGCCUUCCUAAAUAGACCUAGAUUAUGUUUUGCAAACAUUAGAAAUGACACUAAUGAGCCUUUAAUCCCAAAAUCCAACAGAGCCAAAACCAAUCACCCACUUCUUAAUAAAAUCAUUAUAUUAACAAGCGGGUCUAAAUGCAGCAGUCAAAUUUUGCAAAAUGGCUUCGUCCUGAAGUAGCAAACAGAAUCUCCCAACAACCAACUAGAAACUCCCAGCCUCCGAUUAAAUAAUACAAUUUAAAUGACAGUUAGUAUCUUCUCCUAUUUAUAGACAACCAUAAUACCCCCAAUGUAAUAAUUCAGGAAAACUUAUAACCUUAUCAAAACUCACAUUCAAAAUCCAAUUGCAUAAGUAAGAUUUCCAAAACAAUCUCAGAUUCAAACACACUAACUCUCACCCAGAGAUAGAAGGAAUAUUCUUCAAUGCAAUUAGUUUCCAAACAAACAACAGUAUCACUGUAAUAAACUACCGAGAACACGAUAUGAUAAGACUGUACUAAACAACCAUAACUCGCUUUAGUACCAGCCAGUGACACGCCAGACAAGUCUAAGUUUUACGUUCCUCAUCUCACAUUAAGUGAUAUCAUUCAAUGCUACAAGUGCCGAAUUUCACAUCAUAAAGUACAACGUAACAUGUUAAAAACGACCAUUAUCCACUUGACCUAUGCAUAAUUCAGAAUCACACCCUAGGAUUUUAACCAUUAUCAACAGUUACUAGGAUUUAACGGAAUCAUAUCCCAAGAGCUACCCAUACAUACACACUCAUAUAGACUCAUAUAGGCAAUAAAGAGCUACACAUACACACGCAUAUAGACAAUAAACAACAUGGUGAAUUAACAGAGCGGCCAAAAUUCGACAAAAAAAGUAAAGAAACAUACAAUUCUAAACACAUUGGUCCACAUCACUUAUAAUUCAGCUAAAUCUCUCCUUCUUAACAAAACCUUCUGAACCUCCAAAGCCUUUCUCAAAUCAUACCUUCGCCUGCAAACAAACAGUUCACACAUGUAACAACAACUAAACCCACAAAACUCAAAAUAGUAUUAUGCAAUUGUCCAGCAUCUGCACAUACGAUAAAACACAAUCUCAACUUCGAAAAUCUAGAAUGAUACAAAAGAUUUGAUCCGAAACCCUAAUUGACCGUUAGGUAGCUGCAGAUGGAAAAUUUUGCAAGAAAAUAGAAUUGGAUGGAUAUAUUGGUGUCCUCGCAAAUUUUAGGACGGUUUCCCGGGAAACGAACAGAAAUGAGUAAAGACAAUGAGAGAGACGAUUACCUUUAGCAAGUGGCGAAUUGGAAUCGGGAAUCGGGAAUCGGGAAUCGGGUCAAGUAGUUGCUAAGUUCACACGAGUUUCUUCAGAGUGUUCGAUAUUUUGUUCUUUUUUUUUCUGUAAUUAUUUAAUUAAAUCAUCAACAGUCAAAGCCUGGGACCGACUAGUAAUGCUAACCCGAACACAGAUCCAAACCCGAAAAUAAAAAUCGGGUUUGGAUUAUCCACUGGAUACCACAACUUUUACUCUCUUAAAUAAAAAUAAAGAUUAUUUAUAAAAAGUGGAUCGUUGACCAGUGACCAACCGCAAACUCUUUAUACAAUUAAAAUCGCCGGUUAUAUUAUCGUAGUUAAUAUGUUGAAUGCAUUUGAGAGAAAAUAAAUGUAGUAUUAAUUAUAAGGCAUACAUGCGUAUAAUCAUAAUAAUUAUUAUAAGGCUUUCAUAUUUAUUUGUAUUAUCUUGUUUUGACUGUUAACCCCCCUAUGAUUGGAUAAAUAGAUAUUUCCUAAUAUUUAAAAAAAAAAGACAUAUAACUCUCUUUCCUUGAUAAUUCAGUUUUUUUUCUUUUCUUUUUUUUACAGUAAAAAGGAUAAUAUUGUACAUUCACAAAAAAAAAACACCUUUACAAAAAAUGAUUGUAGUGUGGUGGAGGAACUCUUUUUGAGUGGAUGGGGAGAGGAUUCUGCUGACGCGCAUAAAGAGCUGCUUGCGGAUCAAUUUUUAUGCUGGCGUUUUGCUUUUUAUUAUGCCUUACUAGCCCAUUUCCCUUCUAGGCACGCUUCUCCCUGCGUCUUAGUUCCUCCAACUGCUCGCUCCUAACCCUCGCAGCUUUUUUCUCUUCAAUUUCAAUGUUCCUUUUUGCAUGUUCAUAUGCAAUAGAAGAUCAUUAGAUUCCCCAAGUUAUACCACAAACACCCUAUCUCACUCCUUCUUUCAAUUCUCUCAAUGCCUGAGGCCUGAGGAUGGUUAAAAGCCUCAAGAUCUAGAAUUGUUCAAUAGUAUCUCUUUACAAAUUCCUUGAGGGGUUCAUCCUCUCCUUGCUUAAUCCCAUAAGCUUCAUCAUAUCGUCUUUUGGUACAAUUGUUCCCCAAAAUUAUUCCAUAUAUUCUAUACACAUACUCGAAGCUCUUGAUACUCGUGUGGAGCAGCUUAGGAUACCAUUCACGUGCUGGCCCUUUCAAGGUCAAAGGAAAUGCUCUACAUAUUUGUGCCUAUGUCAGGCCCUGCACCCCUCUCAUGUUAUUGAAACGUUAUAUGUGUACCAGAUGAUCACUUUUCCCAGAGAAUUUGAGAUUAGGAAAACGAAAAUCCCUAGCUAUCGUAAUGCUAAUAAUUUAUGUGGAAAGCGGGGACCCAUUGUCUAGCAUGAUUCUCUAGCUUGGAGGUUUUUCUCGGCCUUACAUCCCAUCGAUAAUCUGUGUUAAUCUUUGCACAUCUCCUUCUAAUUCUAUCGCUCGACUAGGAUUGCAUGCAACAACUUGUUCUUGCUCUUGUUCUACAUCAUGCAAAUGCUGUCUCAACUCAUUUUCCUUGAUAUUCACUUCUCUGCCAAUAUUAUCCAAAUUUUAUCUGCCACGGAACUAAUUUCCUGCUUCAAGGUUUUACUCAUUAUGGAAUUGACUUCUAACACUAGGACUUGGCUCACCGUGAAGCUGGCUUCUCAUUCAUAGAUUCCACUCACCUCGAUUUGCUCCAUUUUUAGGUUAUGAGACAUCUUGAUUACUCCCCACACUUCCUCCACUAAUUCUUCUUUGGUAUCCCUCAACUCAGGUAAAGCAGUUGUGAGGGUCUCCAUUUGUCUCUCCAUUUGUUCCAUCCGCUCAUGCAUUGCUCUCUCCCUUGCUUCAUUCUAUUUCCUGCAAGGUGAUUGACUCAUUGAUUUUGGACUCGGCCCCUUGGGCAUUAUUUUCCUCCUAUAUCCAUGUUCUUUAUCCUUCUCUUUCAUUAAUUAGCUAUGUUGGUCGUAGCUUCCUACAGACGGCGCCAAAUAUUAACACCAAAAUCUAGUUGAGUCGGUUAGCGGCUUCAUAUCAAGCCUUUGUGUCAUCAUUAAAUUUGUUUGGUAGGGAAACGGCUAGGGAUGACAAUGGAUUGGAUUUGAUCCAAGAUCCAUGUGAUCCAAAUCCAAUCGGAUCGGAUUUGGAUUGGUUUAAAAUGGAUUUGGAUUGAAUUUGGAUAUCGAUGUGCGGAUCUAAGACGGAUCUGGAGCAGAUAUAGAUCUAUCUUAAUAUCUAAAUCCAUAUCCAUAUCCACUCCUCUUUUUAUUUUAUUUUAUUUUAAAAGUUUCUUAAUAAUUGUAGAAUGAUAAUGAUAAUCAAUGUUAUUCAUAGCAUAUUAGUAGUAUUUACCAUGUAUUUAAAUUCUUAAAACUUAAAGGUUGGUUUUGUAAAUUUAAAGGUCAGCCAGCCUCAAAGCAUGUACAUGCAAUAUUCAAAUUGCAAUCCAAGUAAUAUAACUUGGUAAUUUAUUUUAUCAUAUUGGCCAAAUAAUUUUUAAGGAAUAUAGUUAUUCAUAUAUUUAGUCAAAUAUGGUCAUAAUAAAAAUAAUAAAGGACUGAAUAUAAAUCAUAUUUAAUUUAUAUGUCAUUAUCUAAUGUUGUAGGAAUGAGGGUAGGUGUAUCGUGGAUAUUAGAAUGAUGAAUGAGACAAUAGAAUAUUAGAUUGAUCUUACUCCUACAAUUACUUCUGAAUGAUAUUUUAUUAUCUUUCUUAUUUGUUGUUUUAGUAUAGAAGUAUAAGUUACAAUAUUUAUUAUACUUUUGAGAAAAAUUAUAUAAUUUAUUUGUUAUCAAUACAUUUUAGCCUCCAAUUUUCAAUCUAAAAAAUUAUUACUUUUUUAUUACGGAAUUUUAGAAUUCAUAACGGAUCUAGAGCAGAUUUGGAUUUUAAUUUUUUUUCGGAUUUGGAGCAUAUAUAGAUAUUUAUUUCUUUUUUGGAUCUGGAUAUGGAGCGAAAAAUAUGGAUUCAUAACGGAUCUGGAGCAGAUACGGAUCUUGAUUUUUAUUAUGGAUUUAGAUCUGGAGCAGAGUAGAUCCAACCCAUAUCUGCCCCAUUGCCAUCCCUAGAAACGGCUUGUUAAUCUUUAUUAAAAUCCUCCGACCAUGAGCAAAUAAUAUGUAAGGUGAUGAUCAACAAGCACCCGAAAUUAUAAAAAAUAGUAAGAGGUGUUAAAAGUUUUAUUGGUAUGAACCCUCUGACACUCAAGUCAAUUUAUGAAUUUACAAAAAAAAAUAAAGUAUGUAAUUUUUUAAUUUUUAUGAAGAAAUAAUCUAAAGUAAAUGUAAUAAAAAAAUAAAAAUUGAGAAAGAGAGGUUCCCUUUAUUAACUCCUCUAAGAAUUUGUGUAGGGGUUGAAGUUUUACUCUCUUAAUGUGUUUCUGAUCAAAAGAUUAAGAUUAACACGGUACAAUAAUUACUGUGUUUCGCUGUUUACAAACCCAAAAGAAAAUGUUAGAAUAUUUUAAAAAGAAAAGAAAUGAAAUCAACUUUAACAGUCGGAUAUGUGCACGAAUCGGACAGGUUACACGACGCCGUUAAAGCCAUCGUCAACCUGUGUUUAUCCCCUGCAUAAACCACAAACGUCCGUAUAGAUAAAACAACUAAAGAAUUAUACAAAAAAGAAAAUGCGAGCUGUUGAAGUGAGCAAGAGAUUAUCUCGUGCUCUCUUCUCUUUCUCUUCUUAUUCGCGUUCAUUACCGAACUUUCUACGGUCGCCAGGCUGUCACCGCAGCAGUGGCGACCGCGACACGUGUCUGCUACGCUUCCCGUGGUCCGCCACUCAACAGCGUGGCGUUAAAGUUAACGCUUCUCAUGUAAUAUUUUUUUUCAAUAUUUUUUGUUAAAUAAAUUUUAAAAUUUAUUGUUUCUAUUUUGAAAGUUACCGCUUUCACAUUAAUUAAUUGAUUGAUCUAAGUAUUCGUGCAGGUUAGGCCUGGAAAUGUUAUUGAAAAAUCAGGUUAGUUCUUAAGCAGUGCAGUGAUGGUGAGUUCGGAAGUGCUUUUAUUAAAAGCGCUCUCUUUAAGUAAUAGCUUUUUUUUUUUUGUUCUUUCCUUUCUCUUCUGCAUAAGCAAUCCAAAUUCCAAGGAGUGUUUUUUUGUAAAAUCAACUGUUGAAUUUUGAACUUUGGGAGUGUUUUUGGCACCAAUGGAAUACCUUCUAAAAGGCCAAAGGUGCCUUGGUGUUUAUUUUGAAUUGCUUGGUUGAGAUCAAAAAGCAUUUGGGAAGCUUUCUGGAGAAGCACUUGAUUCACUUUGUUCUUUUAUGAAUAAAGCUUUUGAAGUAUUUUCUCAAAGAAGCAAUUGCUAUGUGAUUUCCCAAAAUGCCUUUCUAGUGAUUUUACAGAAGGUGCUUUUAUUUAUAAGUAUAUUUAUCAAAAGCACUUACAAACACACCCAAAGCAUUUUGUUGGAAAGCAAUUAGUUCUUUCCUUAUCUUACAGAAGUACCGCAAUUGAUUCUUGAAAAAUACAUAGAAGUGCCUGUUUAUUAAUUAAUUGAAAGUGCUGUCAAAAGCUUUCACAGUUUCAGCAUAAGUGAAUUAGUUUUACUAGUUUGAAAUUGGUUUACUGUGAUGCACUAUGUAUUGACAAAAUUGCCUUUGGUCUAUAAUUUUGGUGGAUGGCACUCACUACAGGAAAGAUGUACCAGGUAUCUUUUCUGUGUGUGCUUCUCAUAAAUUUUCUCCAAUUGUGCUCGUGAAAUUUAGUUUUCUAAUGUCUUAUGUUGCUUUGGUAACUUGGUUUUAGGUCAUAGAUGCCGAGCAUAAGCAGCGAGGAAGAGGAGGGGCCAUGAUGCAGGUUUUUUCUAACUCAUGUCCGUCCAGAUUUGAGGGGAUAUUUAUUAGAAAUCCAAAUAUGCAUGAUAUAUCUAUUCUCCAUUGUUUGCUUGACUUAUUUUAUUUAUUAUUUUCAAUUCGUAUCUUAACAUUCCCCUUCCUUCUUUCACCACUGUAGAUGGAGCUUCGUGAUAUUGACACUGGGAACAAAGUAAGCUUACGGUUUGGUACAGAGGAGGCUGUUGAAAGUAUGUAUCUUAACUUGUCAUUUAUUUCCCAUUUUGCUGACUCAAGUCUAUGUUAGUUGUUCCAUUUCUGAUUGUUUAUUUGUUGUUGUUUGUUGGUUCGUGUGGCCAUUAAAUAAGAUGAGUUUUUUGAGGAGGACUUCUUCAGGCAUCUAACUUAAUAAAUUCUAACUACUAUUUGCUGGUUCUAUAAAUAUGUUGGCAGUUGCAUGCUCGAAUGUUUUCAUGUUGGUUCUUGUUUGCCUUUGUGUAAUCGAAGUUUAUUCAACAGGAUGUAGAUUUUGCACUUUAGUUAAGUUUGCUUGGUGUUGGAUGAUUAGUUUUGUUACUAAAGCGACGACUCAAUUUUUGGGUAAAUAUUUACAUGAGUGGGUGGUGGUGUGGAUAUAAUUGAUUUGAUGUAGUUGUGCAUGGCUGUUAAGCUGCUGUCCUGAAUCUCUUUUCAAAAUCAAUUACUAGAUCCUUUUUCCCUCCUGUAAUGGCAAAUGCAACACAACUUCCCCUCUAUGUUGAUAUUACUGAAAAGGCAUCAAGUUAGACUGAGGCUGACCACAGAAUCUUGGAAUUUUUUUUUUUUCCCCUCUUCUUGAACUCCUUUAAACGGGCCUUAUUGUUUUUAAGUCUUCGUUUUGCAAUGAAGUAUGAUUGAAAGCGGAAAUGUGAAAUUCUCUCUUAAUUUUAAUGGGUUUCCAGGGACACCAGUAGUAGAUGAGAACUAUAUAUGCAUCCAGACCCUUGUUCACCUAGUUAAAAAUGGAACCAUUAUACUCAAUAAACCUGCGGCACCCAUUAUUUUUAUGCCGCUUGCAUCUCUUAGGAUUUUGGCAUUUUGUUCUAUUUUGAGCCAGAUUCUCUUUUUUUUUUUUUCUUUUUUUGAGUAGUUCUAUGUUAAAUAGUAAAUACAGAUUUGUCUUAGCUUGGUUUGUCUAUUUGUAUCCUGUGGCAUAAGUAGCUUAUAUUGGGUUAGGUAACUAGCAAUUUCACUCAUUGGCAUUCAUAUAGAGCUACCAACUUUAAACAAUUUAGACUCUAGUCCUGUUUCCUCAAAGGAGUUGUGAAUUCUUUAUGUUUAUUAAUGCUAUCUAUUUUGCUGCAGGGGUAUUUGUUGAGGACAAAUCUUUCACAUGUUUAUAUACAGAAAAUGAUACUGCUUUUGUGAUUGAGUGAGUUUCUUUUCACCCCUUCCGUACUGGAUCCUGAUUUGUUAAUAUAUAUUGCUGCAAUCCGAUAAGUUUUGUGUGUGUUUGUGUGUAUGUGUAGAAAGGGCCAUCAGAUAUGUAUGUGUGUGUAUGUGUAUUUUAUAUAUAUAACAAACAUGUUGUUGUUUUUUUUUUUUGUGAUGCUUUCUAGGUCUGAAACAUUUGAGCAACUGGAAGUGCCUCUGGACGUGUUUGGCAAGGCUGGUGCAUACCUUAAAGGUUGAUACAUAUAAGACUCAGCAUUAUGCAGCUGUGCUCUCUUUAAUGUUAAUUAUGCUGUGAUGUGAAAAAUUUCCAGAUUUGUAUAUAAAGAUAUGCGUGCACAUACGUCACUUCAAGAACACCCCUUCCCCAAUGACACUCUCUAUUUCCUAGUAAGCAACUGAUGAUAUAAAGUUAUUUUCAGAAAUAAUUACUCCAGGUUAAUGGAUGGUUCUUCACUCAAGUUUUGUCACUGGUGCCACUACUAAUUGCCCCACAUGCACUACCAGAUCAUCACCAUCAACAGCCCCGUUAUUGCCAUCCUCAUCAUUUCACCCAUGCCCAUCCUAAUACCAUAAAUGUGAUGAUCCUCCUGCCACAUCUACCACCAUCCUAUAAUAAUGUUGUUACCUACGAAAUGCAUAAGCACUGGUUAGCCGAAGCUAUCAUCCUCAAGUUCCUUAGCUUUCUGCUAGUGAUUCUGGGUUUGAAUUUUAAAACCAGCCAGUUCAUUUGUGGAAGUGAUUCUUGGCUUCCAGUUCCAGUAGGUCUGAUUAGGGGGCAGGCUCCGGCUCAGGGACCGGAGGUUGGUUAUACAUGAAGGUUCAUGUGGGUAGGCACUCUGGAAAAGCAAUGCAUUUCCUUUCUUUUCUAUAAAAAAUCAUGAAUUCCUUUAAAACUUUUUCAUCUCUAUCUCUAAUUUAUAUUGUAUCGAUUGGAAGUUCAAUUUCUCCAAUCGAGAGUCGCUAUCAAGAUAAUUUUUCGUCAUUAAAUUACUCCUACAUUUUGAUGGUUGUUCUUUUUUAUUUUGUAGUAAUAGGGCUUCUUGUCACUGCUUCUAGUAUAAGUAUUUUGUUUAGUUCUUAUGCUGAUGGGUAGCUCUCUUUGCUAUUAUUAAGCAUCAACUGGCUUAUUUAGUUGUGAUUUUUCGUUGUGAGCAGAAGGAAUGAAAGUUUGGUUGCAGUUAUACGAUGGAAGAGCUUUGUCUGGAUCCAUUCCCAAACGUGUUGCAUGCACUAUUAAAGAAAUACACGCUUCUACAAAGGGGCCUACAGUCACACCUCGGUAUGGUCCAAAAACUAGCAAACGUAUGUUUACACAUAUUGUUGUAAUUAAAGGAAUGUUAAUAUCUUGUGUGCAAUGAUUGGGCUGCUGUAAAUAGUACAAAAACUAUAGAUGUAAGCCUAGCUAACAGCCCCAUUCAUAGUGGACAGAAGAUGAUAAAAUGUGACAUAAAACAAUAUAAAAUAACAUAUAAGCCUAUAAUAAAGUUACCAAAAAUGCUAUUUAACAGUCAGGAAUAAGGUAUAAUAAGUUUACCUUGCAUACAGAUUUCUUAAAAUACAAAAUUUAUGACACCUCUUUUGUCCCUAGUACGUAUUUUACUCUUCUUUGUCUUCAAUCUACAUCUCUGGAAUUUAACUUUAUUUGCCAUUGCCACUAGUGCAUUUUUUUAUACAACAGUUAAUAUGCUUAAUCAAAGAUUGUAAGUAACAAUUAAACCCACCCCGUUAAACCUAUAGGUGAGGGCCCAACAGUAGUAUUCAGGCUCUAACAUGUUCUUGCAUUCAAGGGGGAUAGAUCAAAUGUAAUCACAGGUACAUCCACAACAUAAACAACCAAACACAAAAAUACAUACGAACAGAACUUGUGGUAAUUUGAUCAACCAAUAAGGAGCCUCUCGGUCAAUUGAGCUCUGAUAUCAUGUGUUAAGUAACCACAAAACCUACAAGCUCGGGCAUAUGGGUAAUGGCUGAACUAUAAAAUUUGAGCUCUGACAAAAGCAUUUUGCAUGCUCCAUUGUUUUUGUGUGCUCGUAAACUUACAGAUUUCUUCUAAUGCAGAUAUCAAAGGGCUCUAUUAGACAACGGUGUCACUGUUAUGGUAAGUGAAAUAUGUAAAUUUUGAUGCUUUACUCUGUUCAAUCACUUGACUAAAUUAAUUUGUUUGGCAGCUUAUAUAUUUCUUUCCUCCCUAUUUUCUUUCUUUUUCUUUUUCAUUUUAUGCUUGGAGUACCUUGUGAUCCAACUCAAGGAUUCUUGUAUAAUUUCAGUCUCUGGUUAUGUUCUGUUAACUUUAAUUAGAUGAUACAAUAUAGGAACAUUUAGAGAUAUCCGAGGAUUAUCUCUCUAAGAGCUGGAAAGAAAAGUUGUUCUUUAUAGAUGAUGCAUUUACAUUCUAACUGUUGCAUAUCCGUGCCUCCAAAAAAUUCUAGUAUUGAGUGUUCAAUGCUCUGAUUAUGAUAUAUUCUGUUUACUGUAACCUUAAAAAUAUGGUGGAAUACUGAAUAUCGUGAGCACUUGUAUCAUGGGCGCAAAGAAUGUGAAAUGUUUAUAUUUAUUUUUGAAGGUACGAUAAGAUCAUCAUAGCAAUCAGCCAAUAUGAAUUUGCCACUAAGGAGCCCAGGAGCCCAUAGCUGCUGUCAGAAAGUUAUGGGGAAUGGGUAUGCUGAAAAUAGAAAAAUAAGAAAAGGUAGAAAGAAUAGGAGCAGGGGAAAGAAAAUAGAAGAACUAGGGAGAAACAUGAGAUACGUCGUCAUUGGCAAAGUCGUAAAGAAUACAAGUAACUCGAGCUCUACUUCUAGAAGAAUUGAAACUUACUCGUAACAAGUAACCUAAGUCUUUACUCAGAAGUUAUUAUUAUGAAUAGGAUAGACUAUAGCCUCUCGGAUUUGGUUAUUUACACCUUGACCCCCUAAGUGUAACCUCGCAAAGUUAGGUGUAUUUUUUCAUAUUGUUAAGACUUCAGUACUCCAUACCUGGUAGGAUUGUCUAUAUUUCCAUUCUGAACUUCUAUUGGGUUUCCGCUUAAAAAAAUGGGGUUUUGGUUUGUUUUGGCAAUUAUGUUUGUUAAGUUUGCGGCAUAUUCUGGCUGCCAUGCCUUUUUAACAAAGAAUUAAUGUUAAAACUAUGAGAUUCUGACAGCUCUUUGUAUCCUCACAACAUGAUUACCCCAGGUACCCUCUUAUCUUGAAAUUGGUGAAGAAAUAUUUAUCAAUCCUCAGGAUGACUCCUAUAUUGGCAGGUGAAUUUUGACGCGUUAUUUCUGUUUUGCAAUGCUAACUUAUCUUCUCUGCAUCUUCUUUUUUUAAUACCUAUCUGCUAAUGGCAUGUCACUGCAUCAGUAACAUAUAUACUAGGAAUACUUCAUUGCAGUUCGCACCUUGGUAUCUGUAUUAGUUUCCUUGGUAACGACCAACAAUGAAACAUGAAAAAGGGAUGAAAUAUACUUGCUAUUGUAAUAGCAACUGAGUAUUAUUUUCUGCUACAUGACUGGCGCAUUUUCUAUUCUACGAGGCAAUACCUUAAGAUUUCUACUGUUAUGCUAGAAGUAAUAUUAGUAAUGGUGUUAUCAUUUUCCUUUUUUCAUCUUGCUGUUGUUGAACGACAGCAUUUGAAAAUUGUUAUCAGUUAUAACAGGCUGCUUUUCUAAUAUGUUUUCAAUGAUUUCAUCUCUUGUUCUCAGGGCAAAAUAAACCUGUGUGUCGUUUACUACAUAUAUAUAUAUAUAUAUAUUUUUUCCCGAAGGAGAUGUGAAAGCCAUUUGUGUGCCAUACCUUGGCAUUAGACUAACGACAGUGUACUCAGAAAAGUAGAGCACUGGAUAUUUUAUUUGUUUCUCCUUUGCAGUUGAGGGAAUGGAAUAAAAUUUCGUAGAGCAGGGGCAUAUUUACUUUUUAUUAAUCACUGCUGCUGCUUUGAGUGAUAUCACAGAGAAUGAAUAAGAAUAAGAGUAAACAAUUUUUUUUUUUCCCUCUCCGCUUUGAUGUGGUGGUACUUGUGAAUUUAAGUCGUGCAAGCAGCACGAAUACUGGUGUAACUAUUUUUUCUAGGCAAAAUAUGGGACACAUGUAACUAACUAUUUUUUUUUAUAAUUUUUACCAUUUUGUUGUCCCAGUCUCAUACUGGUGAAAAUCUGAACAGCUACAAAAUUAAUUCAAUGGCUGAUAAUGCUAGUAGAUGAACCACAAAUUCAAGAUAAUCGACAUUUUCUGUACAAUAUCUUUUAAGGUUGAAGUGAAAUGAAACGUGUACCUCAAAUGGUCUUUUCAUCAGAAAAGGUUUUGAAAUCUGCUGUCCCAAAAAAUAUAUAUAUAUAUAUAUAUAUAUAUAUAUAUAUAUAUAUAUCUUUCCCUUAUCCCAAAAAAAAAAAAUCCUCGUUCAGUUUGUUAAAACAAUAUUAAACUUUUUUAAGGCAAAUGAAUGAACCAACAGGUGGUCAAGAAGAUCCUAAAGGGAAUCUCAAUCAACUAAGAUUUUGAAACAUCAAAAUCAAAACAAAAAUCUUGAAAAUGUGUAAUAUGAAAUAUUCAUUCCAGUGGAUAAAGCAAUUGCGAUAAGGAAAAUUUCCCACGCAGGAUCAACAGUUGCCAAAAAAGGGCUCGAUGCAAAGUACCUGUUUAUAGAGUACAAAUUUUAUUUAGUUUCGACAUUUUUGCUCGCAGUUUUUCCAAGAGAAGCUCUCUCUCGUAUUCAAAAUGGUUGUCAAAAGUAUCCUACUUUAGUCACACCCAAAAAGAUAAUCAAUCAGGCAUGAUGGUUCUUGAAGGUCCUACAUCAAUUGUGAUUGUAAAGAAUUCCAAACAAAUGGUUUGAUUUCUCAAGGUCUGAAGUGCAAAAACCGCCUGGAAUACAAACAAAAUGCCAAUUUAUUUAAUACUCAUUUCCAACCGAAUUCUUCAUUCAUGUCAAAGACUACAACCCCACUUUCUUCUCAAGCUUUUGGAUCUGAUUGAGGAAUAUCCAAGUCAUCUGCAAGACCAUGCAUCCGUUGAUCAAUAAACAUGAGAUAUCAUAUCUCACUUAAAAUUUAGCUUUUGGUGCGAGGAUAUUGAUAUUAAUCGAGGUCAAGUGCACAAGUGAUAAAGAAUGACAGAAGUGAGAAAGAGAGAUUACCAUGACAUGAGGAGCAAUCCGAACACAGUACACAGGGAAACCAGUGUAAAAUUUGAAUGGUCCACCAGCCUUGAGGGUUUUCAUGGCACAGUCCAUAGAGCCUGUGUAUGGAUACUUUCCUUGAGCAUCUGGUUGCAUUUUCUGAAUUUGUGUUUUGACAUAAUCAAAGGGUAAACUGCAAGCUGAAGCAAAGAACCCUGACACUGUACUCGCCCCUGAGAACAAAAAGGAAAAAGCAAGAUAUUAGCCACAGACAACAUGAAUCUUCCUCAGGAUCAAAGGAAAAACAUCAAAACACUUAGAACCGGCACACUACAACUUGCGCCCCUGCUUGAAAACUCAAAGGACCGCACAUCCUUGAUCAGAUGUCUCAUGAUCAAGCACAACCAGUUUAUAACAACCAGGAUAAAAGGAUAUAAGGGAAACCACAAUUCAAUUUCGCAUGUAGAACUCUAUUUAGGAUGUUUCUCAUACUUCUGACAAUUGAUUUACUAAAGGACCCAACUUAUGACUAUAUCACCAACCAAAGAAGAAAUAUAAUCAGAAACAACAUCAAUCACGCAAGAAAGAUGAGUAAAAAGUAAUCGAUGAUGGUCAUAGUAAUUGAUGACAGUCAUUCACAUAAUGUUCCAGAUAAAACUAGUUUCCAAACCGAUUAGAUUUAUAAUAUCAACAAAUCUAGGCAGUUAACCCAAAGUAAUUGACUUGUUUAUCCCUAAACUAAAAUAACUACCAGAGUCUCAGACCACCAAAGCAAGGGCAUAAAAGAUGAGACCAAUUAAAAAGAAUUGCAAACUAAUGAUUAGUACUUGAAAUGAAGAAUGGGAGAAUAUAUUAAGAAUUUGUUCAGUAAGACAAACAAAGGAAAAGAUGGAAAUGCAAAAACUCCUUUCUCAGAUAUCAAAAAUGUCAUCUCAUUAGCCAAAAGGUCAUGUGAACGGCAUCCGGACAAAUCCAAAUGUGCAUUGAGAGGUUGGGAAAGAGAGGGAUCAUUUGGCCAUGAAUAAUAAAGGCUGAAAAGAGAUCUCUAAACUAACUCCACAGUUCUAAUGGAAAUAAGAAUUCAACACAUUCGCAGUUUUGAAUCCAGCACAUAUAUUAACACUUCGCAAGAUCUAAUAUUCAUUAUCCUUACUAAAAGAAAAUAAUAAGUAACUUAUACCAAGGGCAGAGUGUAAAAUUCUAUCAGAAGAGAUGUGCUUAAUCUGGAUGUAACAAAUGACAAAUUCCAUUUACAUGAAACAAUAUUCAUAAUUUCUGUCAAAGUCUUUCGAACCUGUCUAUUGCUUAUGACAACCAUUGAAAACCAUUUUUUUUUAACCCUUGAGAAGAAACUUUAGCCAAAGAUAACACACUGAUUGCAGAGAAUACUUGCCGAUUACUGUAGGAAGUUCAGACAAGCCACACGCAUCUCUGAAAAACUCAACACUUUGAUCGUAGGAGGCAAGCAUGCCCAUGUUCAAUGCCAUAGCUCUCACAACAGUAGGACCUGCACCUUUCCAAAGUGCUAAGACCCCUUCAUCUGCAACAAUACGAUAAAGAGCUUGGAAGGCAUUAGUGUAAUUGCGGCGUUGAGCAGCAGGUAGUGUGGCAUCAGCCUGCAUUCGGAUAAGUGCCAAAUCUGCUGGACUACCAACAGAAGCUCCAAUAGCACCAGCAGUUAGCCCACACAAGGCUUUCUGAUACAAUGGAAGAGGCUUCCCGUCAUUGGCUUCAAUUGCUUUGUUUGUCAAGAUCCUAGAAAAAAGAGAGAUGGAAAUCCAAUAAACAGCAAAUAACUAUUUAUUUAAGAAAAAGUAAAAAAAAAAAAAAAUCCAUGUCUCAUUCUUUUUUUGUUUUGUUUUGGGGUGGGGGGGGGGGGGGGUGUAAAACACAAAUGAAAAGAAAAACUCACCUAAAUGAUCCAAGACGAGCAGUGGUAUAUGUAGCUUGCCUGAGCAGUCCAGCAGACAACCCCUGCUCAAUAUAAAAUAGUUUAAACAAACCUAAAGUAAGAAAUCGUUUUUAGUCUAACUGGCCAUGUAAGACCACAUUUUAAAUUUUGAAAACAUGACAGUACACAUUUAGGUUAAAGUCCACAGAAAUGGGAGAUUAGCAGUUUCUUAGUCUAUCCCAUUCAUAUCACAAAAGCUAACAAAACCAAACAAGGAUCCAUACAAACCUUGUAAAAGGCACCAAAACCCUCAUUCUUAAGCAUAGUCUUUGUCACGGUACCGGCGGAUCCCUGGCCCAGCUGAAUUCUCACCUGCCAACAACAGAAAACAACCAAACAAAUGGAAUCAAACAUAAAAUUGAAACAUCAAAGAACGAAAAUCCCGCAAAUCAAAACAACAUAACCUUCCUAAAAUACCCAUCCAAUCACAGAUCUAAAACACAUCGAAACUCAAAAGAACCCACUUGCAGCACCCAAAAAAAAAAAAAAAAAUCAAAACUUUAACACACUCAACAAAUAAGAGUCCAAUCUUUCACCCAUACGACAACAUAAAAACACAAACCCACAUCCGCUUUCGAGUAAAUUUGCAUUACCUUGAUCAUAUCGAUGGGCUGAAUGACACAGGUGGCAAGCAUACCAGAGGCACCACCAUUGACAAAAGGCUUAACAGUGGGCCAUACACCAGCUGAUUGUGGCUUCUUCUCCUCUCCCAUUUUUUUCUUUUGGAUCCAAGAAAGCUUAAGCUGGCUAGAGAGAGAGAGAGAUAGAAAGAAGAUUGAGUACAGAAGGAGAGAGGGAGGUGGAAGGAGGCAAUAUAAAGAAGGGAAGCAAAAGCACCAAACCAAAUACAAACCCUCCAAGGCUCCAACCAAAAUUAUUUAUUUAAUACUACUUUAAUUUUUUUUUCUUUUUUUUUUUCCAAAAAUCAAUUGUUGUGCUGAAUUUCAUUUUACAUAUUUUUUUCUAUUUUACUUUGACUAUGUCUAUUUUGCACUUUAUUAACAUGAAUAUUUUAUGUUUUUAAUAAAUUGAAAAUAGCAUUGAUAUGAACGAAAGAAUUUGAACAUAGGCCUUGGAGAAGUUAUUAAUUUUUUUUAAAAAAAAUGACUACAUAAAGAGAAUGAUGGUUAGUACAUAUUAUGAUAAAUUAAUGCACAUUCAAUAAUUAAUAUGUUGUCUUUUUUUUGUAUUCUUAUUUUUGUUGGAGAACAUUUUAUCCUUUAAUUCAUUUUGAGUGAUUUAAUUCUUACAUUUAAAAUUAUAAAAUAAAAAGAUAUCAAACUUUUAAUUGUAUCGAGUUUAAAUAUGUACAAGGUACACCACUUAAUCAUUUUUAAUUGUAAUGGAGUAUUUGACUUGGAUUCAACGGACCCUACCAUUUUAAUAUGUUUUUAAAAUAUUUAAUUUCGAGGAUCUAAAAUGUCAAACUAUGUUGAGAGGAGCAUAUAUAAUAUAAUAUAGAAAUAAAAUUAAUUUGACAAGUCACUUUUUAACUUCCUCAACGUUGAAUAGUUUAAAGAUGUUGGCCAUAUAUGAGAUGAAUCAUCAUGUAAUAAAAUUUUGAUUCAUAGAAAAUCAUACAGAUGUAAAGUCUAUUCGAUCUAAAUAAUUGUAUAUAAAGGACUAUAUUUUCACACUUUGACUUGAAUUAUAUUAUUUAUAUGAUUUCGGAAUAGUUUAUUAGGUUAUUGCAUUUGUUCAAGAUCCAUAAAUUUCAUGAGUUAAACAUUAUUAUUAAAAAAACAAAAAUUAUUACAAAUAAUUGGGUUUUUUGUAGAUAAAAUAUUUGUUUUUUCAUCUAAACUCGUUUGUUGUUCGUUUCUUUAAAAUGGAAGUUGAAGAAGUGUCAAAUUUGACUUCAUGCUUUUUUUUUUUUUGAAUACUGUUAUACAGGACUAUAAAUAUUAUAAUUAAUAUUUACAAACAGAUUCUACAAUUGAGACCUUUUUCGUGGCAUGUACUCCUUUGAAGUGCUGUCCAAAUUCUUCAAACCCUCUCAAAUAUUCGAGGGCUGUCCACUCCACUCACAUUUCGUGAGAGAUAGACUAACUCUACUCAAUUAUUUAAUAAUUAAAGGAAGAUUGUAAAUAACCUCCAUAAAUGCUUUUAUGAAGGCUCGAACCCUUGCACUCAACAUUGUAAGUGCAAGGGCUCUCCCAGUUGACCAAAGGGUCAUUGGUAAUUUGACUUCAUGCUUGGUUAAAGAUUGAUGGGAUAGCGAGCACUUUGCUUUUCCGAGACCAAAAAGUUAGUAUAAUGUAAUUUAAUAAACAAAUAAAUAGGUAAUUCUACUUUUUUUUUUAUUUUACUUUUUGUCGAACAACCCCAUUGCUUGUGGUGAUGUUGGGAAUUCUUUAUUUAAUAUAUAUAUAUGUAUUAUAAAAUCCAAAAUGGACGAUAAAAUUCAUAGAAAUAAAAAUAAAUGGCUUUAUAAGUAGAGAAAGGAAUAUAUAUAUAUAUAUAUACCAGAAGGAAAUAUGAUCGAAGGAUAGGUGUGUUUUCAAAAGGACUCAAUAUUAAAACCUUUAAUACGACAAUUAAUAGAUCGGCUUGUUCCAAAUUUUAAAAGAACUUACCAGCUUUGAUUUAAGUUGAUUUGCUUUAAUGGAUUUGCUUUGAAUCGCGGUUGGUCAGAUUUUAAAAGUACGUGGCGUUGUAUCUAGAUCGAUGCAGAGCCAAGUCUGCCUUUGGCACUAGAUCUGACUUAGGACAGAUCAAUAUGCCGCACGUUCUAGUUUCCAGCCGAUAUACCGAAAAAUUACCAAAUAAAGUUUAGAUUCUUUGCUUUGAAACGAGAUUAGUCAAUUUUAGAAGUGUCUUUACCAGAUCUGGGUUAGGUUCUUUUUAGCAAACCUAGCAACAGGGCUUUGCAUAAAUAAACAUGCAUUAAGGAGGGCUUCUAAUCAUACACAGUACCAGAUCCGGUUCCCGGAAAUGGUGCUCUGAAGAAGGAGGGAGAGAGAAGAUUUACAACUGAGGAUCGAGAUCUGGUCUCUUUGCCUCAGAGGAACGUAUAUUUUAUAAAGCAGAUCUGAUACAGAUCAGUCUGCAAGCAUGCUUUGUAAAAUAAAAUGCUUUAAAUUAAAGUGCAGAAAGUAAAUGCUGUAAAGUAAAUUGCAUAAAUUUAAAUUACAUUGAACUUUAAAAUUUAAAUUACUGAAAAUUAAACAUACAUCUUUUCUUUUGGCUUUACACUUCUUCAAAUCUUUCCAGAAGGGAAGAUUGAAAGACGGGAAGAUUACCGAAGUAAGAACUAGUCUGUUCACCCAAAGCUCUGUGGUAGAACUAUUGUGUAAACAGAAAAUUUCUUUGAAUCCGGACUCUUCCUAAAAAGAGAGCUUUUUAGAGAGAAGGAGGAGAAGAGAGAGAGAAGUUCUAAUCUAAAAAUGAAAAUCUGAGGAGUCUAAGUCUUCCUCGUAGAAUAUAUACAAAAAAUUGAAACUGUUCACUGUAGCGGAGCUAUAUGUGCACAGUAACCUUUGGAAAUUGAAACUGUUCACUGUAGCGGGUUUUUAAGUGCACAGUAACCUUUGGAUCGUAGUUUUGAAUAGUAGGCUGACCGUAGCUGGCUGACCGUAGCUUUGAACAGAAGACUACUUUGUACAAAUACUAGAAUACAUACUAGAAUACAAAAUGAAAUUCAAUACGGGUGAAGAGCAUGUGCGCUCUCACUUGUGUCCAAAGGACCACCCGAGGAUAACUUUUCUUUUUUUUUUUUUUUUUUUUUAAGUAAAUAAUCAAAUAAUUAUUUACAAUGCUUUACAGGAGAGAAGAUGCCGAAACAGUCAUCUUCAUUUUCGUCGCCGAGGGAAACGGUUGGCUCGUCAUCAUCAUCGUCUUCAUCUUCAGUGGAAUCUGCUACUGAGGACUUGGAUCGGGAGGCGAGGAGCUGUUCCAUUGCUUUGAAGUAUUCUUCUUCUGUUUUGGCACUUGCCAAAAGAGAUUGGGCUUUGGAUUUCUGGGUAAGGAAAGUUUGCUGGGCUUUGGUGUCUUUAAUGGUUGGCUGUAGAUGACCUCUAGAGGAGAGCCAUUUUUCAACCUCACUUGUAGUCAAUUUAGAUUGUUCGUCGAACUUUGACCACCAUUUGACUUUGAAGGUUCUUUGGAGGAUUACUUGGGAAUCCUGGUUAUGAAGUCGAAGACUCCACAUCCAAACCCAAGGAAGGAAGAAAUUUGUACAAAAACAGAGAAAAUGAGGAAAUCUUUUCUCAGACUCAGAAGGUUUAUAAUGGGCUUUGAAUAGGUUUAAGCAAUUUUGGGCGUUAGGUGUGAGGAUAUCUGGACUUGGUCCAAAAUGAUUCCACCAAUGUUGGAACCAAUUUGGUAAACUUUGAACGGUUAUUUUUGGAUUGAAGAAAAAUAACCAUGAAUGAGAUUUUUUAGGGUUUUGGAUAUAAAAAGUGUUAUACCACGCCUGUUGGUAAUCCCAAUAGGAAAAAGUCCUACAGUGAGGUAAACGGGUCUCAAAAUUGAGAGGGAAAGUUUUGAAAUUGUGGAGCAGGUCACCCCACUGGUUUGGGCUCAAUACCUUUAAAAUAGUGGCCGUAGAGUAGGCCGGCUCAGAAUGAGAACUGCUGAGAAAGAAAUGUUUAAAUUUGACUGACUCAGUAAUUUCCAAAAUGCUUUGAUAGUAAGACUGGGGUUUUGUCAAAUCCCAUGGUUUGAAAAACCAGCCUUUGGGAAAAAACUUUGAAAUGCUUUGAAAAGGAUCAGAAUUGUAAAAUCCAUCUUCGAUUGAAAGAAUGUUUUGAAAAUGGUUUUUAUCAAUCCAAUCGGAUGUUUUCUUUGAAAGUGUUGGCUGUGAAAGUACAAUUUGAGAGGAUGAACUUUCACAAGACACAACCACAUUUUGAGAGGAGGGCUUUGAAAUGUCUUUGGGUUUUUCUUUUUCUUCUUGAAGAGAAGAUUGGCUUUGGGAAAGGUUUUGGAGAGCUAUCAUAAGCUCAGGAGAUUUGGUAAUGGAACUCAUCCAUUGCUUUACUUGGUCAUCUGAAGAGGUGGAUUUGUACUGGGCUUCAUGUUCUUCGACCAAUUCAAUCCAAGAUUUUAUAGGUAAGGCCGAAGAAAGUAAUUUUUCUUUAGAGGGGGUUGAAAUUGGUUCUUUAGGUGGUUCUUGGGAACCAGAGGCUUUGAGAGCAGCUUUACCUUUGUCUUUGUCCCUUUUUGGCGGCAUUAUCUGUUUUGAAGAAAUUCUCUGGUUAGAAAAUCCGGAACAGAAUUUUUGUCACCUUUAAUGAACUCAAUGUCAAAAUCAAAAACACUUAAUAUUGCUUGCCAACGUGCAAAAAUUUGUUUAGAUGCAAUGUUUUGAACAUCCUUUUCUAAAACAUGUUUUGCAGCUUUACAAUCAAUUCUAAGUAAAAAUUUUUGAUUUAAUAAAUCACUUUGGAAUUUAGAUAUGCAUAAAACAAUAGAAAGAAUUUCUUUUUUGAUAGUAGAAUAGUUUUUCUGGCAAUCAUUCCAGUGUGCAGAAACAUAUUGUACUAUCUGUUCUUUAUCAUUUUCUUUUUGUUUCAAAAUACCUCCAUAACCUAUGUCUGAUGCAUCAGUUUCAACAAUCUUUGGUAAUGUAGGAUUUGCAAGAAAUAAACAUGGAAUGUUUUUUACAGAUUGCUUUAUUAAUCUAACAACUUUAGUAUGCUCAUCCGACCAUGCAACAGGAUUCUUUUUUAACCUAUCAUGCAAAGGUUUAGACAUCCUAUUGAUGUUAGGGCAGAAAUCAAGAAUAUAGUUCAGACUCCCAAGAAAUCUUUGUAAUUGGGUUUUAUCAAGAAUUUUGUCUGGGAAUUUAUCUGCAAACAAAAGAGAUCUUUCAAUGGGGGUAAUGGUUCCUUUGGAAAUAUGGUGACCGAGGAACCGGACUUUUGUUUGAAAUAAAGAAAUUUUUGAACUAGAGAGAGCUGGACCAGCCUUUCUAGUAGCAAGAUAAAAAGUCUUUAGAUGUUUGAAAUGUUGAUCAAUCGUUUGGGAAAAUAUCAACACAUCAUCAAUGUAAACGAUGCAAAACUCAGAGUAAGGAUUGUAAAUAUCAUUCAUAAUUCUUUGAAAUUCUGAGGGUGCAUUUUUUAAACCAAAGGGCAUUACUGUCCAUUCAUAUUGACCAAAGGGAACAGUAAAUGCCGUUUUAUAACGGUCUUUAGGAUGGAUUUGAAUUUGCCAAAAACCCGACUUCAUAUCAAACUUUGAAAAAAUGAAGGCUGAGCAGAGUUUUUGAAGUAAAUCUUUUUUGUUAGGUAUGGGAUACCUAAUCCAUUUUAAAGCUUUAUUUAAAGGUUUAUAAUUGAUCACAAGUCUAGGAACACCUCUUUCGAUUUCAGAGUUUUUAUUAACAUAAAAGGCAGCACAAGACCAUGGUGACCUAGAUUUUACUAUAAGUCCCUUUUUCACAAGAUCAUUUAUUUCUUCUUUACAAUGCUGCUCCAAUUCCAUAUUCAUUUGGAUUGGACGAGCUCUGGUUGGUAUAUGCUUUUCGUCAAAAGAGUUUUCAUAUGGCAAAUCAACUAAAUGUUGCUUUCUAUUCCAAAAAGCAGAAGGUAAAUCAGCACAUAUCUCUUUUUCAAUGAGGGCUUUAAAAUCAGAAAUUUUCCUUUGUACAUAACUGCUUUGUAGUUGACUAUCAAUUCUCUGAAAACUUAAAUCCUUUUGUAAACAAGAUAAAUCAUCAUGUUUAGAUUUAAGAAUGGCAUUGAUUUGGGUUUUAUAAACAGAACAGGCUUUGACCAUAUUUAAGUUUCUGGUCUUUGGUUUUUCAAUAAAUGGGAAAACCAGGUUUUUAGACUUUGCUUUGAAAUAUAUACCAUCGUAAUUGACAGCAUAAGGAGUAAUGAGGUUUAUAAACGGAGUCCCUAGAAUGAUAGCAUGGUGUAUAUCAUUAGUAAGAACAAAAGAUGUUUUAAAUUCAAUGUCCUCAUUAUAAAUAGAAGCUUCAACUUUAGAAUUGACUUUUAAUUUUGAAUUAUUUGCAGCAGAUAGUCUUUCAUUUGUCCUUUCAUGAAAACGUUUUGGGACAAUGUCUUCUCUGAUGCAAUUUAAAUCAGCACCAGUAUCAAAAAGGGCAAUUGCAUCUAUUGCAAAAUCUUUAGAAAAGAUUAAUGUAAUUUUAACCAAAUAUUUUCUGGUGGUGAUUUGUUUUAAGACAAAUAAAAAAUCUUGUGGAACAGAUUUAAUGUUCUCAACUUUCUGAUCAAUAUUAUCACCAUCAUCAGGAGUCGACUCAUUAUCUGAGUUAUCCUGUAAUUGCUUUUGUAAAAGAAGUUGGAUGGUAAUAGAAUCACUUUGCUGUUUUUCUUUUAAAUCCUUUAUUUCAAGUUUAAUAUCCUUGAUCUCCUUUUGAAGGUCUUGGAUACUAGAAGUAGACUUUUUUGUUUUCUUUUUGUCUAAAAUCUCAGUUAAAUCAUAGGAAUUCUUUUUAACAAUAGGAACAUUUGAGGUUCCUGCUUUAUUUGAAUCCAUGGUUUUCAAAAGUUUAUCAAGAUAUUCUUUUUGAAGAACUGGAUCAGAAAUAUGCUUUACAAGUUCGAGGAAAAUCUCUUGGUCUUUAGUCAAAACAUUGAUUUUCUUUAAAUAAGAAUCAGAAUCAGAAUCACUACUGCUAGAUGCAGAGCUAUUUGAAUCAAAAAGUUCAUCAACUUGAAGAGGGUCAUUUUCUCCCUACAUGGAAGAUUCAGAAUCAGAAGACUCAACAAGAAGGGGGGCAAUUUUGGAAAGGAUAUCUUCAUUGAGGUCAAGCUCAUGAAGUCUUUUGUUCAUUCUGCAAAAUUUUGCAGUAUGACCUUUCAUACCACAUUUGAAACAAGUGGCAUCUUUGAAGUUGAAAGGGGUUUUUGGAUUAGCUUUAAACUCUUUCUUUUUAGAGAAACCGUGUUUCUUAUAAGGCCUCGAAGGUUUCUUAUAAGGAAGUUUUCUAAAAUCAUGAAAGGGUUUCCUAUGGCUUUUAUGCUUGUAAUGUUUUCUGUAAGGUUUUGAAGAACACUUGCCAUUACAAUCUUUGGAAGUAGAAGCUUUAAAGGGGUCAUAAUUGAAUUGUUUACAGAAACCUCCUAAUUCUUGCUUAGAUUGUCUAAGCUCUUGCUUUAGUCGUUUCUGUAAUUUCAAAUCCUGACAAAUCUUUAAACCUUCUUUAUUGACAAAACUGACUAGUUCACCAUAGGUGAGCUCGUCAUAAGGAAUACGAUUGUCAAAAAGAGCUUUGAUGGAGUUUCUUACCUUUUCUCCCAAUAGGGUAGGUAAACCUGCAAGGAAUUUCUCCUUCCAAGUUACAUGAUUUGCAUCAUCCCUAAGGAAGAGUCUGGUAAAGAAAGUGGUUUUGUAGUCUUGGAAAUCACUGAGUUUCCUACAUCUUAAGUUAUGUAGUAACUCGGCAUUUUUGUCUCUGAGGUGAGAAGGGUCACCUAUGAAAUGAAGAGAAAUAGUCAAAAUCAGGGUAGCAACAGCAUCCUGAAUAGGGUUAUUUAAUUCGUCAAGAAUGGGGGAACCAUUCUCAUCGAUUUGGAUGGCAUUUAAGAUGUCUAAUUGCUGCAAUUUGGUGAGAAGAUGAUCCCACCAUCCUUUAAGUUGACCAGUAAAACCUGCAAUUAGGAUUUCUGCAAUGGCUUUGUCAGAAGUUCCUGAUUGGGUUUUGUAGGCAUUGGCUGCCAUGGUCAUUUGCUGCAAUACACCUAGGAUGUUAUACUCAGACAUUCCAUCUAUAUUCCACUCGUAGACAGAGGAUGCAUUAUAUCGAGCUUGAUUUAAUGCACUGGGCCUGUUGUCUAUAGUCAAAUCAGGUGGAGAUUUGGAAGUAGGAAGAGCUAACUCCCAUUGGAUUUUAUUGGCUUUAGGAAUAGGUGUUUCGGUAAAGGCUUCUAAGUCUGAGGAGGCUAUAGAAACCUGGUCUUGCUCCAAUACCCCAAUCUUGCUAGAUUGGGGAGUAUCAGGGGCAAUAUUAACUCUGUUUGAUGAGGAAGAAGCAGCUUCUAUCCUAUCAAGUUGUUCACGAAUAGCUUUAGCAAAAUCUGAUUUUGAUUCAUGGACAAGCUUUUGGCUAGUUUUCGAAACCUGAAAAGGUUUGAAAAUAGGUUCUUUAAGCUUUUUAUCAUAAUCCGAUUUUGAAGAAACAGGUUUAGGACUGGGAGAGAUAGAAAUUGUCGACUGUUGGAAUUGAUUUUCAAUUCUAGUCAACUGCUUACCUAUAGUAUUUAAAUUAGUAUUACAGAAAUUAUUCUGUUGGAUAAUACUACUUAAAUUACUAUCAGUAUCAUUGAUUUUGGGGAUUUUGUAAGGUGAAGCACGAAUUUGGAUAGGAGGUUCACCGUGAUCAACGGUUAUACUCCGAAGAGGUGGAUGCUCAGACUCGACAAUUCUACUACUAUCGUGGAGUUUCCAUUCAGUGGUCUUCUUCCUGAUAGUAAUAGGGUUUGAUUCUUUAAAAGGGUAAGAAAUGUUGUUCUCAGAAGAAUAUAUUUCGAACCAAUCAAAAAACAAUAUAUGAACUUGGUGAAGAUUCACAAAUUCAUAAUAAGUUUGUUGGAUUUCUUUUCUUUGUUUUAGAAAAUGCUCAAAAAACCAAAGUCUUUUUCCUUUAUUGUUUUCUGAAUAAAAAUCAUUAUGAAGAAGAGUUUUAUCUAAAUCAAACUGUUUUUCAAUAACAUUUAAAACGUUUUCUGUGACUGCAGAGAACGUAGGGGAUGUUGGAGGAGAAGGUUCCUUCUCUUCCUGUCUUUGUUCAUGUUGACUGCUAAUAUAGAUUGGAUGAGGAACUUUUGUAGUAUAGUCAACAGAACGAAUAGAGGAGCUAGGUACAUCCGAAGUGGAAAACCUGGGUUGACUUUGAAAAGGGAGAUUUAUAACAGAAGGGAUUUUUGUAAAUUUCCUUUCUAGCGAAGGAAUGCUUGAGCAUGAUUCUUUAUCGGAGAAUCUAGAAGAAUUAGAUCUCCUAAAUGAUAAUUUGACUUUACCAUCUGAAUACUGAGUCACAUUUUGCAACUCUGUAUUUGGCUCAAGUUGUUUUGGAACUGCUGGUGGAGCAACUCCUUCAAGAAUCCAUUCCUCUGGAAGAUUUACAUCUUUCCAUUGGAUUGGUUUUGGAAUAACUGUGUUUGCUUUAGACAAGUCAGUCUGUAAGAGAAGAGUCUCAUCCCUUUUUGACUGGAAUUUAUGCUGCGUGCUAAACGCAGAGAUCAUAGCCUUAUAUGAGAUUUUAAAGAUUAAAGCUACAGGGACAGAUCCCUCAAUCAUAUUAUAAUUAUGCGUUUUAAUCUGUAAAAUCAUGCUUUUCAGAAUAUUUUUGUCUUUAAGAGAAAGAGUGAUAUUUGGAUAACAAUCAAAAGAAAUUGGACCUUUACAGAGACUAGAUUCGAUGCUACUUAGCAAAGAAUCAUCAAAAGAGAUGAAUCGACCAUCUCUAAGGACAGCAAGGAUAGAAGUAUCCAAGCCUUCUUUGGUUAAGGGCUUUAUUCCUAUUUGGAUUAAACCAAUGUGGAUGUAAUUGAAAUUCUUUUCUUUUAAUUUCUUUAAAGACUUUUCUGAAAACAAAUGAAUUGUUUCAAAUGGUGAAGAAAGAGUGAUGUCUCUUUCUUCAGUUUUAAUAACAUAAUCACUUUUAAAGAAAUCAAGCUUUUUUGUCUUGUAAAUUUGUUCUUUUGAAAUCUUUGGAAGUUCCCAACAAUCAAUUGCUUUAUCAAAGUUCUCAAUAACGAAUUCUUCUGAACUCACAACAUGCUUUGAAUCACUAGUCUUCCCGGAAGAAGAGCUAGAAAAGGACGAUGUACGGCAAUAAAGAGGAUUCAUGGUUAGAACCCUGUGGUCUAAAUCUGGUUUGGUCAAAAUGGCUACAGGUAUGGUUUUACAGCCCUAAACGGAAAACUUGUCCUUGAACGGGACUUACGACCAGUAAAAAUUCACCACAAAAACAAAACUUCAAAAUAAGAACACAAGAUUUUAAACACAAAAUUCUAAAUUGCUUUACACAAUCCUCCCCUUGGCUCUGAUACCAGAAGGAAAUAUGUAUGUUUAAUUUUCAGUAAUUUAAAUUUUAAAGUUCAAUGUAAUUUAAAUUUAUGCAAUUUACUUUAUAUAUAUAUACCAGAAGGAAUAUAUAUAUAUAUAUAUAUAUAUAUAUAUAUAUAUAUAUAUAUAUAUGUAUAUAUGACUCAAUUUUUUUUUUUUUGUUUUCCCUAAACGGUAGAGUAAAGAGUUUGAUUGGGCACAUGUUCUUGCUUGUCAUGAACAAAAUCAUUCGUUGAACAAAUUAAUAAGCAACAAUUCAAUAUAUAACUUAGUGUUAGUUAUUUUAGGUGGCGUUUGUUUUUUAACUUAAUAAAUUAAAGUGAUUUAACUUAAUUAAUUAAGUUAAUUAGAUAUGCUUGUUUUUAUAACUUAAUGUGACUUUUUAGAUAAUUUUGACUUAAUAAAAUAAGCCAAUUUUUUUGGCUUUUUCCUUAAUAGAGACAUCUGAAUUAAGUCAAUUACUUUCUAAUGUCAAAAAUAUCCCUGCUUUAUAAUUUAUUUUUCAUGUCUAUCCCAAAACUCACUCAUAGACAUUUACCCCACAUAAUAAUCUCAUCAUUAUUUUUUUAGCCGUCAUUAAAUCCCUCCUCACUUUGGUAUCAACUCCUCAACUAUUGAAGAUCAAAAUUACAUGCGACAAUUUCGAGAUGAAAUGGCAAAUCAACUAUUUCAAGCAUCUUAUUAGUUUUUUUCUUUUUUAUAUUAUAUACGAUCAAAUUUAUGGUAUUUUAUAUAUUAAAACUCCAAAAUCAUUAUGUAUUCACUUGAAUAUAGUUUUACUUAUAAAUGUUAAAAUAUUGUGGUAUUUAAUAUAUUAUUUAUUUGACAUUCAAAUUUAAUAAGGAUACAAAUGUAAAAGUAUAUAUUUUUCAGUUUUUUAAGUUGAAAAAAACAAACAACUUAAUAAUUAUUUUUCAAGAUUCAGACGAAAAAACAAACAUAUUAUUCAGAUUCAGACAUUCAUAUCUAUUCAGAAUUCAGAUUAAUUCAGGUCUAUUUAGAUUUCAGACAAAAAAAUAAAUGCCACCUUAGUUUAGUUAUUUUAGUUGAUAAAACUUCUUAAAUUGAAGUAAGAGUUUGGAAUUUCAACUCCAACUCAUAUAAGUGAACAGAGGAUUUAAUCACUAAGAGUCUGUCUGCUAUAGUUUUUCAAAUACAAUUUAUUGAAAUAGAACUUUUACAAGUAGAACUUUUAUUUUAAAAAAAUUAGUUUUCUAACUGCUAAUCAGAGUUUUUAUUAAAAAUUAUAAAAUUAUUUUAAUGGACAAGUUUUUUAAAACUAUGAUUUGAAAAUAAUGAAAUAAGAUUUAAAUAAAAUUAUCAAAUAAGUAGAGAAUAUUUUAAAUAUUUUAACAUUUAGAAAGAACUUUUCAACUUAUAUUUUUAAAAAUCUAAAUUUGAGUUUUUGUCAAUACUUGGUAAAGGCAAAACAAUUUAUUUAAUCUUUAAAAACUUUAAAAAAUAAUAAAAUUUUUAAUAAGAAUUUAUGAGAUUAAAUAAGUACUUAUGACAACUAAAUAAGAUAUACUAAACAAAUACUAAUUCUAUUAUGCUUCAUAAAGAAAGUAAAUAAGAUAUAAAAAAUAAUUGAAAGUGAAAACUAGUGUUGGUGAUGUAACACGAGAUAGUGGCACUUAAAUGCUAAGGGCUAUGUAAAAUGCCAACCAACUAACAAAUAGUGGCUGUGCUUUAUUUAAUUAUCUUGUUUAUUUUAUUUUAAUUUUUAUUUGUCAGAUGCUGGGAAUCGAAUCAGGCCCAUUUGAGUUGGAAUUUGGGCCCCAAGUGCGAAUUUUUGGGUCACUUAUCGGGCUUUUAUGUAAGCACAGAGUAAAAAUUCUUUACUAAAAGCACCUCCUAUGUGCUCUAGUUGCACCCAGUUCUGUUACAAACGUGCCAAGGGUGUAAUAAGAACAAUCGGGGAUGUAUUUUUUUUCACUUUUUCUUCCAAUAUCUCUCAUUUUAAAUUCCAUUUAAUUUGGGCUUUUGAAGCCCAAGUAUGAGCGAAAAGCCCAAACUUGUUCACUGGCCUAAAUAGUCCACUGGUUUUAUCUAUUAUCCCAUAUUUUAAUUAAAAUUGUCCCUUAUUUUUAGUGCAAAUAGAAAAAUGCCACUUGUUUUCAAAGAGAAAAAGAAAAAAAUGGCUUUUUUUUUUUAAUUACUACAAAGUUACAAUUAAAAAUCUAUCGAAAUUUUCUUUUUUUUAUGGCACAAGCAUACUCAAAUUUCUAUUAUCAUAUUAAAAAAUAUACAACGAUUAUCUGAUUUCAUGUUGUCAAAUGCUCAAAAAACUUGUUGACUCAUGUCAUUAUUUAUGACAUUCAACUAGAAUAAAAAUAGACAAAGAAAGAGGCUCGAAUUAUUAUUGUUAUUAUUAUUAUUUUCCAUGAAUCAUUUAGGGAUGACAAUUUUUUUCGAUGGGAUGAGAUCCUGCGGGAUCCCAUCUCAUUUGAGACAGAAUUGAAACAUAUUUUUGUCUUAUAAAAAAAUUUAAGGAUAGGAGUGAGACAUUUUUUUAUCCUAAUUACAUAUACGGAACGGAAGUGAGAUUGAUAAAUUAUGUUCCAUCCCAUUUCAUUACCGAUUAAGAAUGAAAAUUUUACCAAUUGGGAUGAGAUCUCAUAGGAUCUCAUCUAUUUUAGGACGAAAUUAAGACAUAUUUUUAUCCUAAAAAAAUAUAAAAAUAAAAUUAAAAUAUUUUUUCAUUUCAUUUGUAUAUACGAGACAAAACUAAAAUUGAUAAAUCUCAUACCAUCUCAUCCUAUUGCCAACCCUAGAAUCAUUGAAGUGGGAGGAAAAAAAAAAAGAAAAGAAAACAACGAAGCAAUUCGGAAUGACGUGUUAACUAACAACAGCUCAUUAAAUGGCCUUUUUGUAGUUUUUUGACGCGCACAUGACCAACACUGGCCUGCCAAUUUCACUUUCCUAUUUCACCCGUAAAAAAAUUGGUAAUUUGUUUUUGUUUAUUAGAUUUUAAAAUUUAUCAAAAAUUUAUUUAAACCUGAUUUUUUCAUUUAAAUCAUAUGGAAUGUGUACCAAAUUUGACUAUUGGAUUAAAUUUAACCACUAAAAUUUGGAAAAAAAAAUAAAACCCAAAUGCUCUCGAAGAGAAUUCUACCUCACAUAAAUUUUUUUUUCUCAUUUGAUAUAAUCAACAAAAAUUGAAAAAAUAAUAUAAAAAAACACUAGUACAAGACUACAAGCAGCGGAUAAAGAAUGACUUAUAUAUUUAUAUAAAAAUAAAAAAGAAGAAAUUACUUAAAUAUUUUUUAAUAAAUAAAAAAAGGUCAAUAACGUAAUUUGACAUAGCCGGCUGGUAAAGUGGACCAGGGGGACAAGGCUGGAGCCAAUUGUCAUAUCCGGACUCCAAAUUCUAAUCAAAUCACAUUUAACGUCGACCAGAUUCGCUCGCCAAAGUGUGUGUGUGUGUGUUUAUAUAUAAUAUAUCUAUAUAUAUAUAUAUAUAUUUAUAAGAGCUAAGACCUAAAACACAUACUGAGCAAUGCAAGAUCAUUUUCGCCGGUUUUUGAGAUCGAACAACGCGGUUGAGCUGUAAAGUGUAGGGGAACAGAAAGCAAAAGGGAGGAAAUUAGGGUUCUUGGGCUUGUGGGUAUUUUGAAAAAGGCAAAGAAAUGAGAGAAAUUAUAAGUAUACACAUUGGGCAAGCUGGGAUUCAAGUGGGGAAUUCAUGCUGGGAGCUUUAUUGCCUAGAACAUGGCAUUCAUCCUGAUGGCAUGAUGCCCAGGUAUAUUUUGUACAUGCCCUUCUUGAUUUUUUGUGUUUACUGUUAAAUGUGCUUGUUCCGAUCAGAGCAUUUGUGGCUCAAUUUUGAGUUUUGACCGUUUUCAGUCUGGAUGAUUGUUAGUGUUGAUUUUGAUUAUACCCUUUUGAUUAUGUGUUAUGAGCAUGUAAAGAUCAAAACUUGUUGCAAUGUGAUGGUGAAAUCAUGUGUUUUCUUUAUUGUAAAAUGGCUAAGUUUUUUGGUCUGGAUGAACGUUGAAGUUGAAUUUGACUAUAACCUCUUGGUUUUUGUAUGUAAUUUUUGUUAAUGGGCAUGUAAAGAUCUAAACUUUGUGGCUGGAUUUGUUGGGAUGUGAUGGUGAAAUUCUGGGCUUCCUUGGUGGGGUUUAUUGUAACUGUAGUGUAGAGUUGAGCUUUGAGUUUGGAUGUGUAUUAAAAUUUGUCUUGAUUCGGCCCUUUUGAGUGUUAACAAAAGAAAGAGCUUUUGUCCCUUUCUUCAUCAGCUUCAACCUCUGGACGUGUAAAGAUCUAAACUUUGUGGAUUUACUGCAAUUCAUGUUAAAAAUGGACAUGUAAAGAUCAAAACUUUGUGGGUUUAUUGCAAUUAUUGUUAAAAAUGGACGUGUAAAGAUCAAGACUUUGUGGGUUUACUGCAUUUUUUGUUAAAAAUAGACAUUUAAAGAUAAAAACUUUGUGAGUUUAAUGCAUUUAUUGUUAAAAAUGUUCGUGUUUUGAGUCUCUUUGAGUGCUAAAAAUGAUUUUGACCUAUGAUGUGUGUGUAUUUUUGUGAAUGAACAUAUAAAGAUCAAGAAUUUGUGGCUGAAUUUGUUGGGAUGUGAUGGUGAAAUCAUUGAUUUUCUUGGUGGGUUUACUGUAAAAAGUUGAAAUCUGGAUGAGUGUUGUAGUUAAUCUUGAUUAUAUUAAGCUGAAUUUGUAGGGAUGUGAAGAUGGGAUUACGUUUUAGGGUGGGUUUAUUGCAUUUGAUGUAUUGUGUUUGUUCUGUGAGUUGGGAUGGGAGUAUCAGUUGAGUAUUUGCUUUAUUCGAUGUAAAUGUUGUUUAAUAGGCUUUUAAAGACCAAAACUUUUUCAUGGACUUAUUGCAUUGUGAAACAUGUUAAGUAUUUCCUUUAUAUGUGUUUAUUAAAUGAGAUUGGAUGGGCAUAAAGUUGAUGUUUCUUUUUUCAAUUUACAGUGCAACAAACCUUUGUAGAGCGAUUAAUCGGAAGGACACAAAAUUUAAUUUUGUAAUUUAAUGAUCUAUGUAUUAAUAAAAAUAAAAAUAAUAUUUAUGCACAAUACUGUCUAAGUAUCUGUGAUGUUUUUUGGUGUAAUGAAAAAAUUAGAGCUAUUUAAGGUGAUAAAGCUGCAGUAUAUCAAUAUAGCAGUUAAGAAAUAGGUUCUCAAUCUCUCUUUUUACAUUGUAUGACUUUUUUUCUGUUCAAUAAAAUAAUUUCUUUGUUUUCUUCUUCGUUGAAUGUUUGUGCAUUGUGGUUUUAUUAUGGUUACACAGUUUUAGUUGAAAACAAUGAUGACCUUUGAAAAUUUUGGUGUGCGUGCAGUGACAAUACAAUAGGUGUAGCCCAUGAUGCCUUCAAUACAUUCUUCAGUGAAACCAGUGCUGGCAGGCAUGUGCCCAGAGCUGUGUUUGUUGAUCUUGAACCAACUGUCAUUGAUGAAGUUAGAACGGGUAGCUACCGCCAGCUUUUCCACCCAGAGCAGCUUAUCUCUGGCAAGGAAGAUGCUGCUAACAAUUUUGCAAGAGGGCAUUAUACUGGUAAUUACUGUUGUUUGUCAUUUGCAUGAAUGACAUUUGCAUUGGAUAGUUUGGUGGUUUUGAUUGAUUGUUGCUUUGUUGUGCAGUUGGGAAGGAAAUUGUGGAUCUUUGCCUUGAUCGUGUUCGAAAGUUAUCUGAUAACUGCACUGGGUUGCAAGGGUUUUUGGUGUUCAAUGCAGUUGGUGGUGGUACUGGUUCCGGUCUGGGGUCGUUGUUACUGGAACGCCUAUCUGUAGAUUAUGGAAAGAAGUCAAAGCUUGGCUUCACUAUCUACCCUUCUCCUCAGGUACCUAUACCAGUUGUUGACUUCAAGCCAUGAUGAUGUACUCCGAUUUCUUUCCAUUCAUCAUUUGUUAUUUGCAUUUGGUGACAUGGAUGAAGAAAUUAUAAGCUGUGUGCUUGUCUGGACUUUGGACCAUUUUAAUAAGUAUGGCAUCAAAAAUUAGGAUCCAUAGCUUUUAUCAGUCUAUUUUUCUAGGAAUCGUCACUCUCUUGCUAUUUAUUAUACAUGCAUAUGUACAGAUAUGUUAUAACUUAAUUGAUUUGUACCAUAUUAUAUUUCAGGUAUCAACAGCAGUUGUGGAGCCUUAUAACAGUGUUCUGUCUACUCAUUCCCUUCUUGAACACACAGAUGUUGCUGUGCUAUUGGACAAUGAAGCUAUUUAUGACAUCUGCAGGAGAUCCCUAGAUAUUGAGAGGCCAACUUACACUAAUUUGAAUCGAUUGAUAUCUCAAAUCAUAUCAUCUUUGACAACUUCAUUGAGGUUUGAUGGAGCUAUUAAUGUUGAUAUUACAGAGUUCCAGACCAACCUUGUACCGUAUCCUCGUAUCCAUUUCAUGCUUUCAUCAUAUGCUCCUGUCAUCUCUGCUGAAAAAGCAUACCAUGAACAGCUUUCAGUUCCAGAGAUCACAAAUGCAGUCUUUGAGCCCUCAAGCAUGAUGGCCAAAUGUGACCCCAGGCACGGGAAGUACAUGGCUUGCUGCUUGAUGUACCGAGGAGAUGUUGUCCCCAAGGAUGUUAAUGCCGCUGUUGCCACUAUCAAAACUAAGAGGACCGUGCAAUUUGUUGACUGGUAAGGAAACUUACAGAAUUUCUUGCUAUAAACUGAGUAAUUUUGAAUAGAUGGAUUAACUCUUCCUUUAUAAUUCAACUUCCAAUAAUGGUAUCCAUGGUUCUUUAUGAAAUUGCUUUUAUUGAAAGCAAACCAUCUUUGGACAACAUUUAUAGAAAUUGGUUUGGUAAAGGCCAGAUGAUUCUGUAAGUGGAUCUUGUUGUCCGCGUUAUGUGCAUGUGAAUUAAGAUUCACAAUCACCUAUUUAUUGAAGAACAAUGCGUAUGGAUGACUACAUUGAUUUUCCAACUUAAUUUCAAAUUAGUUGACAAGGUUUAUGACUUUUUCGAUAAUUUCUUGUCGUGUAGACUGGGUAACAAGAGAGCAUAGAUUGUUAGUUCUUGUAUAUAUAACCUCUGAUUGAAAGCAAUCCAUCUUGGACAACAUUUUUAGAAAUUGGUUUGGUAAAGGCCGGAUGAUUCUGUAAGUGCAUCUUGCUAUCCACGUUAUGUGCAUAUGAAUUAAAAUUCACAAUCACCUAUUUAUCGAAGAACAAUGCGUAUGGAUGACUACAUUGAUUUUCCAACUUAAUUUCAAAUAAGUUGACAAGGUUUAUUUCUUUUUUGAUAAUUUCUUGUGUAAAUUGGGUAACAAGAGAGUAUUCUUGUAUGUAUAACCUCUUAUUGAGGUUGCCAAAGCAACCUCAAGAAUUUAUAUUACUUGUUUGAUGUGCAACAUUAUAACUACUCUUAACAUUUGUCUAUUUGGAAUUACAGGUGCCCAACUGGCUUCAAAUGUGGUAUUAACUAUCAGCCUCCAACUGUCGUACCUGGAGGUGACCUGGCCAAGGUUCAGCGAGCUGUUUGCAUGAUCAGCAACAACACAGCAGUGGCUGAAGUGUUCUCUCGCAUUGAUCACAAAUUCGAUCUCAUGUAUGCCAAGAGGGCAUUCGUCCACUGGUACGUUGGUGAAGGCAUGGAGGAAGGUGAAUUCUCAGAAGCACGUGAAGAUCUGGCUGCUCUUGAGAAAGAUUAUGAGGAAGUUGGUGCAGAAGGAGUUGAUGAUGAGGAUGAUGGUGAAGAAUAUUGAUGUACUGCUUCUGCUGUAAACUAUGAAGAUGAGAAAUAUGUACAUUUUGCAAGGGCAUUUAUGUGGAAAUUUGUUCAGAAAUGUGAGGGUCUGUACUCAAUGCUUAGUCCCUUGCUUUUUUAUUGCUUUGUUUCUUUCGUGUAGACUAUUUCCUUUUGCUGUUGAACUCUCAAAAUUGUGCCAAUAUUGUGAUUCGUGGUGCUUUUAAUGGUAUCAGUGAAGUGAUAUUUUAGAAUUAUAAGUUGCAUAUUGUUUCUAACAGAAAUGUUGCAUAUCUCUGUCAAUGAUAUUUCAAUAUUUUGACUAUUGUUAAUUGCAUACCCUCAAGUCCUUGCCAUUCUUCUUAUAGUGAAGAGUUAAGAUAUGGCUGCUAUUUGUGAUUGCUGGAUGCAUGGAUUUUUUACUAUUCCUAUCAAUUAUUUUGCGUUAUAUAUGCAAAAAUGUACCAACCUGGUGUGGUUUGUUUCUGAAAGAUUAUUGUAUAAUCAAGCUGCUCUAGAACAUUCUGCUUCAUUUCAGGAUCUUUGCUCUGUACUUCUGUGUUGAAAUUUUGGUGGUUUGGAAAUGGUGUGCAUUGAAGAAACCAUUUCGUUUUGUUUUUGUCCUCUGCAAUAUGAGGUCACUCUAUGGGUGCUGGAAACGAAAAAUAACCUUUUCUUUUCUUUUUUGAAUGGAUGAAAUUGAACUUUUGAUCUACAGAAAAAUGCGGAAUCAAGAGAAGCAGCUUCAUUAAUACUGUUUUCGUCUAGUACCACAAGCGCAUGCAGUUGUCCAUGCAAUCAUAAUGUUGUAGCAGCAGCCAGCGGUGCAUGUUUGCGUUGCCUGUGCUCUUUAAAAUCCUGAAUGAUUUACAUGAAGCUUGAAGAGUACAGCCAGUGACAAGCACUUAAUUUCCUUUUUAUUCAUAAUCCCAUGCCUGUUUGCCUGCAACUAGAAGCUUUCUGUUUCAUCGAGGUUUUUCACAAUCUGCCAAUCCAUCAAUUAAGUUUAGGCUUGAUUGUUUGAUACAGCUAAUUUUCUUGAGUAAAACCAUGUCCAUAAGCUCAACAAGAAGUGUUCAUAUGCUCAAUUUAAGAGGGGAAUUAUUUGGCGGAAUAGACAACAAAUGUCUUUCACAGUUUUAAUGUGCAACGGGUGAAGCAUAAAAAGAACUAUCAUUUCUACAUAAUUCUCAUAACUGGAUAUCUUAAGCUGCCACAAAGUUUAGGAGAGUCGACGAUGGGAUUGUAUUAUUUCUGAGGGAACAUCUCCGCACCAGAUUCCAAUUCUAAGCAAACCGAACUGGUUUCAAAACUAAUCAACUACUUGUCCUAGAAACAAUUGACAAUAAACUGUAGAUCACUGCAACGUGUUAGUAUCAUGUGUUUUUAUACUUCGAUGAUUCAAGCCUCUUCAUUACUUCACUAGCCACAGAUACAUUCUCAAGAAAUUCAUUCAAAACAUAAAUGAAUAUAUGUUUCUUUCUGCAUUCUAUGCAUUCAAAAUUCAUAACAUUGAGAAAACAAGAGAGAGCUUUGAGACAUAGUGGGCAGAUCCCAGAGAGCGUGGCUGGGAUCAAAUGCAUUUUCCAGGUGCUGAUUCAAUCCAUUCAUAGUAUACAGUGAUGCCGAAAUCUGUCUCUCUACCUUCAUAUGUUCGAAUUCUGAAAGCUCGAUGUCAAACUGUUCAGGGAAAAAAGCAGCAACAGCAUGUUUAUUGGGCAACUGAAUCCCCUCUUGAGCCAGUGGAAGCGGAUCUAACCCAGCCGGGAAUGGCCAUGAAUGAUAAAACUGAGUACUGCUGCUGGCUUCAAAAUCCCCAAUGCAGCUGCUCAAGUCUGGCCUAUAUGCAUCAUCAAAGAUACGGCCAUCUUGUUUCAUGCCCUGAUAUAUAAAACUAUCAUAGCUGUUGUUGGAUAGAAAGCUAUCAUUGCUACUAUUAGAACUACCAAUACUGCUAUUAUUGUCACAAACUAUAGUACUUGGUUUUAUGGGGGCUGUUGUGUUGCUGCCGGUGCUGGUUGUGGUUGAUGGGGAGCUUUGUUUUAAGCUCCUUUUGUGAUUAAGCAGGUUCCUGAUCUUCAAAGAGAUAUGGGAAUUGGUAAACACAGGAGUGGCAAAGUUGGUUCGAGUAUUUGAUCCUCGGAGAAGGCAAGCAGCUUCAUCAUAAGCACGAGCGGCUUCUUCAGCUGUCUCAAAGGUGCCAAGCCACAUUCUUAUCUUCUUUGUUGUGUCUUUAAUCUCUGCUACCCAUUUGCCUGAAGGCCGUUGUCUCACGCCAACAAAUUUGCUUUUGUUGCCAGGGUUUGUGCUGCUUUUGGCCUUGAUUUUGGCUGAUGAAACACCCUUUGGCCGCUGCCUUUGAACUUGUUGUCCCAUUGAAAAUAUGAAAGAGAAGCUAUGAAUCAAUGGUGAGUUAAAAAAGUGCUUCUUAUAUAGGAGAUGACAUUAUGGUCCAGAAGUUAUUAUUGGUAGUGGGUUGCUCGUCUUUUAUUCUUGUCAGCAUGUCUAUUAGUUUUGUUCGUUUUGAAGGGCGACUGAUCUUCCAACGUUAAGGCUAAGGGUGCGUUUGGGACCAUUUCUAAGACAACCAAAAGCACUUCCAAUUACUAAAAAACAGUUAUGUGCUUAUAUUAUAGAACUUUUUUUUUAAUUAUUAUUAUUAUAAUGAUAAAAAUAAAAAAAACGUUUCCAAACAAUGCUUAAAACUUUACUUGAUGAUAUCUCCAAGGGUCAUGAUUUGUGAUAUGCUAGCCAUUUGCUAUAUUUCGAAAGCAAGAGUCAACUCUCUGAGUUGUAAAUAUCAAAGUGAUUUUUCUAAUGGAACCUGCGUUGCUGUCCUCUUCUUCUUCACUCUUAGUUGGUCAAUGAUUAAACAUAAGCAAAAUUCGUGAGAUGCAUAAAGUCAUGACACUUGGAGAUUUUAAGCCUAAUGUUGAUGUAACCAAAUUAUAUAUAAAUAAAUAAAAGAAGGGAGAAAGCAAAUGGGGAAUCUCAUAAGGCAUGCUGCAUUUGGUGGAAUGGAAUCUCUUUUCAAAACUACACGACAAAUUCGAACUUUUUGGAUGAAUUGAAAGCACUUUCUCCUGAUGGUCUUAUCUGUAAUCCAAAUGAAUUAACAUUUUGGAUGCUUCUCUAAAAGCAUUCGUUCCCCUUUAAAAAAACAUCAACAAACAUAGGUGAUUCUCAAAUGCAGAACAUAUAUGCAGCCUGAUUGAUGCUCAUGGGAAGUACCUCGACAACAGCCAUUUGUUUUUUUAAGAAAGAAAAAAACCUUUUAAAGUAACAUACGUGCGUGCACAAUGGUGCAAGAUAAUAUUUUGAUUAAUGUGAAGAAAUAAAAAAAAGUGUUGCAAAUUCUUCUUGAAUGUUAUAUAGAGGAACUAUCUACUGCUAAGCAAAUUUAUUCAUAAGAUGAAUGGUUUGAGUCUCUUUAUAGUUGUGACUGAAAACUCCAAGAAAAUAAACCAUGUACUAAAGACAUAACAUUAAAUUAUAUAUAAAUUUUUUUUUUUUUUUUUGGGGGGAGGGGGGGAAUGCAAUUAUCAUGUCCAUAUUUGGAAACACACUUGAUCAUUAUUUAUAAUUAGGGGUACAUCAAUAGAAAAAACACAUAAUCUAGUUGACAUUUGAGAUCAAAGCCGUUUAAAGAAAUAAAAAUCCUUAAUAAUUGUUAGAAAUAUUUUGAAGGUUGAACUUGACAUGCCAAUAACAUAAUCUAAUUGACAUAAGAUAUUAUUAAAGAUGCUUUUAAAGUAAUUGGACGCACUUACAAUGAAGAUUCUUUUCAGUACAUGACAACUUAUAACUUUUUAAGGCAGGUGAGGGUAGGUUUUUUCAAACCAUUCAAAAUAAAAAUGUGUCCAUCACAUCAUACAAGGAAUCAAGCUUACGCUGCCAGCCCCGGUAAAAUUGAAACAAGCACCUCGAAAUCUAAAAACUGAGGGGCAUGCUGCAUCGAAGAUCAGGUCUUAACCAUGUCCUAAACCAUUUCAACUGUUAUCUACACUUCUGUACCGUAUUUUAACUGUCAUAACAAAUCGGUCAGUUGAUUGAACUUAAACCAAAGCUCCAUGUAUCAAUCAAACAUGGUGGGAAGAAACUGAUUUUUACAGUAAAAGAGAACCAAAAAAGGAACUCUAUCUAUUGCAUCGAGUCAUUCUUGGCAAAAAUGCCGCGUCCACUUAAGUGUUCUUCUACCAAAGAAACAAAGAUAACCACUGAAUCACCUGGAGAUCAGGUCAGGUGCAUGCCAAUGAAACAUUAACAUCUUCAAUACCUGGAGCCAAUUAAUGCCAAUUCAUCAUUCAGGUGGCUUGAACUACAAUAAAAUCUGCUAGGUUAUAACUAAGAUGGGGAAAUAAGCAGAAAGAAUGUAUUCUCAAAAAGGAAAAAAAAAAAAAAUUGAAUCUGCUGCCUCCAACUUGCAAACAAAUCAGUGCUGCAAAGAAAAACAAAAAUGGAAGGUUCAAAGAAGAGCAGUAAUGUUUAAAUCAAACAAGAAAGGUAAACACUUUACUUCUAGUGACCAGGAGGAUCUAGACCACCAAACCUGCCUUGGUUUGAUCCAAAAAAUAAACCUGAUAAAUUCCACAGAAACCGCUAUGUUUCCAUAAAAAGUUGCUUUUUCUGAUGCAUGGAAGCAAAAGCAUGAGUACAUCCCAAGAAGCACUUGCUAUAAACUAGUCAAGGUGAAAAAAAGGAAGCGAUAUGCUACAAAUUGGGCAAUAAGCCCAUACCGACCAGUCACACCAUAUGAAGUUUCAGGAUGCUACAAACAAACUAGAGAAGCCUUCUACUCAUCAUCCAUACAUCCAGGUGCAUGAACAUGCUCCCUAUGAGGUGACAACCUGAAUCCUAGCAAACAAUAAAAGACCUUUGAAUCACUACGUUUACCAGGACAGAAAAUAACAAUGACAUAACUCAAAAUGCACAGAAAUACUAUAAUUGCAUAUAUUCAAAACCAAGACACUCCUACACAUGGACAAUGCAAACCACAAUAUGUAGUAGUAUCAUAAGUGGAUUACUUGUCUCUGCCUGAGCAAAAGGAACUCCUCCGACUCCCAUUGCUCUUAUAGAGUUGCCAAGAAGCUGGUUCUGAAGCAGACAUUAAUUUACCAUCAGUUCCACGACAACAACAAUAGGGUCUCAAAUAGUUAUCCCAAAGAAAAAUAAGCAAUACAACAUCCCACAUAUAGCAUCAAUGCAGGUUGAGUUAUAAAACUGUCGUUAUACAUGGAAAAAUGGAAAAGUCUUAGGGUAAGAAGGCAGUUCCAACAAAAACCUCAAGUAUAGCCCCAUUAAGAAGCCCAUUAUCUCUUUCUACCACCCCGCUCUCUCAAAGAAAGAGUUAGUGUUUCCCCUGUUGUGACGUUAUAAUAUGCAAGUGACAUAUUAUCCUUUAGAAAACCAGCUUUUCCACUCAAUUUCUGUUUGUUUGCAGGAAGCUGAAUCUCCCCAGAAAUUUUCUCUUUCAAACUGCCAACAGUUUCAGAUAAGGACUGCAUUGUAAUCUCCAGAAGUUGCCCUUUCAGAUUUCCUUCAUCAACAUUGGGAACAGCCACGGUGAUGCGAACAGGUCCCUACGAAAAAGCACCAUGUAAAUCAGCUAAAAUGCAAUAUAAAGACAAACUUAACGGCAUUAUAUGAAAGAAGCAGUUUCAAGAGUAACCAUACCGGAUGCUGUGCCAGAAAUUGAUCUUCAGGAAUAAGCAUAGAAUCAUCGAGCUUCUGCCUCUUUGGCUCUGGCUCUUCUGGAAGUGGCGGCGGAGCUUCAGUUGGAGGUGGAGGAGGCAUCCCAUGAGGCAAAGGUGGUGGCUGCAUCAUAGUCACAGGAGGUGGUGCAGGGCCCGGGAGAUGGGCAAAAUGAUGCGGAACUUGCAUAUGAGUAAACUGAGAUCCAGGAGGCGGUGGGACAUGCACACCAGAUGGAUUCAUGGAAAUUGAUGGUGGCAUCGGGGGUGGUCGACUCAUCAUAACAGGUGGCUGUCCACCUGUAGGCAUUGAAGGAGGGUUUGGGGGCAUUGAUGGAAUCCCUUGCAUAGUGAACUGCCUCUGUUGAGGAACUGGGAUCCCACCACUAGUGGGUGUUGAAUACUGGACUGUGUUUGGAGGCACACGAGGAAGAUUCAAGGCUAGUCCCGGUGGUGGGGGAAGAGGACGCAAAGAAGGCACACCAGGUCGAGGAGGAGGAGCUGCUGGACCGGGUAGAUUCGAGGAAUCACUGUUAGCUGCACUGUUUUGAUCAUCUCCAUUAAUAUUUUGAGACAUGGCUUGGUUUGCUGUACGCCCAAUGCUACUAGUAUGACCAUCCCAUAUGACUUGCUUUGGUUGCUCAUCUUUCUUCUUCUCAAUCUCUGCUUUGACUGCAUUAGAAACUUCUUCCUCUGUGGUACCAAAGAUAUCAGGCCGUAAACGUGCAAGCCCAACAAUAUUUCUGGAAAUCUCAUCAUCCUGAGCAAGAGUCGUCUCCCGAAUCUUUGCGAACAUCCUUUCUUUUUGCUCCUUGUACUUGGGAUCAAUGAGGGAAAUUCUCAUGUGCUCAGACAUUUCACUAAUGGGAAUUAGCUCACCAGUAAUGGGGGAAAUAACAAACUUUGUGGGGUCUCUUUCAGCAGGGAUCCUCUCCUCAGGUCUCUUCCAGUUCUUUACAAUUCUCAUUGGUGGUUCUGGAUCCUCAUUAGCCUGCAUCUCCUUUCUUUCGACAUCAUUUUCUUCAAGACUAGCUGCCCUCAUGCCCUCUUCAACAAGCUGCACCUCUUCUUCAUCCAUCUCCAUUUCUACCUCCUUUCCGGGUUCAACAAUUUCAUCUUCUUCUAUAGAAGACAUCUUGCUCUUCCUAAUAACCUCCUCAAGACUCAUUGGCACAGGUAGGUCCUCAUCCUCGUCAUCUGCAAAGUCUAUCGUCUCAACAACAACAAAAUCAUGCCAAUCAAUCAUAGCCAUCUGCAUCCUCUCCUGCUCAAUCUCGUCCUCAGCUUUUUGCCUCGCCUGCUCUUGUGAACGUUCCCAUUCCAGGCGAUGCAAGCACCGUUCAAGCACAGUUGUCAUGUCAAGAACGCUAUUCUUCAAUUUCUCAGUCAAUCCCUUUGGUGGCAUCAACACUUUAGAAUAUGCAUCUGCAAGUUGAGUGAAAAAAGUAAACAUACUAUGCGUUGGUUUCAGAAAGUGGAACUGAGGAUUGUUGAUCUCUCUACUAGUCAAUCCUGUCAAGAAUGAUUUUCCAUUUCUAGCUACAAACUGGGCAGUCAGCUUAAUAAUGUCAAGUUCUUCGCCAGUAAUCCCUUCGGGAAGCCGCACGGUAUACUGCUCGGCUUCAGGGGGCUCAAGGACCUUCUGUACAGGUAGUUUAAAUGGAAGAGCCGGCUCAGUCUUUGCAGCUGCAUCACUACCAUCAGCAGCCACAGCAGAUGGCUCUGACUCAGGUGCAGCAGAAUCCAUGGGCUCUGAAGAAGGUUUCUGGGCAGAAGAUUGAUUCUGCGCACGAAAUUCAGACAGCCGAUGCUGGUAAUAUGCAUGAUAAGGAUCUGAACUAGUCAAAAAAUUGAACUUGGCAUUAUUAGCAUUGUUCGCAAUGAUCCUCUUCUCAAAUUCUGGUCCAUUCUUAGCAACGAACUGAGAAGUUUUGUCAACAAUAUUUCUGAUAUCUGGAGGAGGAUGAAUAAUUCCAAUUGUUCUCGUGUGGGUUGCAACCGAUGCAGGAGCAGCGUUAGCAUUGGUCUGCUCCUCGUUUGAUGGUUUCUCCUGUGUAUGCUUUUCUGACACCUGAGAUAGAGGAAGAGGACCAAGAUCUCCAUCGGAAGGAGGUGCUGGAAGAGUCAAGAUUGGCGACACUCCUGGCAUUGUUUUUGCAAGAAGCAGUAACUUAUUUCAGAAUUUAUAAACCGUCUCGUAUCAACACAAUUUCAAGCUAAGUUUGUUAUCUGUAAUAUCUAUCAAUUUUUUUUUUUAACACUUCAGUCAAGGAAAAAAUCUAACCUGCAAAAACCACACAAAAAUCCGAGCAAUAGUUAGGGAGGGAAUAAUAAAGUCUAAUAUAAUAAUAAAAAAACUUGAAACUUUAGUUUUAUCCAGCAUUCCAAUAGAUUACAAAGUGAAGUUAAUUAAACCCACAAGUUUGCAUUAAAUAUUACCAGCUCAGUAAGUCCCUGCAUCGUUAAAUCAAUAAUUUGAAAACUCAAUCGUGAAACAAUCACGCGAUCAAAAGAUUCAGCAACUAAAAAAAAACAAAAAAAAAAAAAAACUAAACUAUUUGCAAAUAAUUCGUGGCCACACACACGCACAUCAUUGGAUGACAACCAAAUUCUUAGCAAACCCACGUGCCAUAAUGCAACCCCAAACUUGAUUCACUUAAAAAAGAAUGAAAGUUUAAUAAAACCAGAGUUAGGGUUGAAAAUUUAACCUUAUGAGGCUGAUAUGAGAGUAAAAUUUGGCGGGAAAACGACGAAUGGCCGGAACGGUGCCGUUGUCGAUGGUUUGCCGCCGACGCCGCCCUCGUGGGAGGUGCAAAUCGGGCUAUCACUGAAAAGAUUGUGAAUUAGGAAGGUUUUUAUUUUUCUGUGGUACAAAAUUAUUAUUAGGGUAGAUGAACGGAGUCGGUUAGGACUUGGGAGGAAAACGAAAAGUGGAAAAGGGUACUGGAAGUCUAGAAGUGGCUUAUUUUGGUUGGGCCCAAUUUGAAGCAAUGGGCCGACCAGGCAAACGUAUAAUGGUUGUAUGGUGGGUCUAAUCAACUUGACCCGUUUGGGUCUAAUUUCUAAGACCACUAAUUACGGAGAGUAGAAAUCCCUGGUACAGAGUUUAAGGGAAUUUUUUUCUCAUUUGGAAUGGGUACGUGGACCGAAAAUGAGAUAGAAUCCUCAUCCCCAUUUUUUUAUUUUAAUUUUUAAUUUUACUUUUAUUUUUUUAGAAUUAUUAGUGAUAAGUGCAUAUUUUUCAUUUAUUUUGCUAUUAAUUUCUCCAUCUUUUUCUUGUUUUGGUCUUAAAUAUUCUAGUUAUUUUAGUUCAUUUUUA